UUGUCAAAAGUUGCAAGAACCUCUGCCUGCAGAUUGUCACUUAAAUAAUCAAAAUGGAAGGAAUAGAUGUUCAGUGAGUUCAAGGAAGAACACACUUGAACUCACUGAUCAAAGCGGAAAACUUUGUUUAGGUAAGCAGAAUAGAAAUAUAAAUAUAAGAAGAAAGAGUGGCAAUAAAUAUAGAAGAGCGAUUCUUCUUCCAGAGGUCAAUGAACCUCUGCCUGGUCAAUACAAUUCAUUAGAAUCCCAGAUUCCAUUCUUAGACAAGCAACCAAGAGAGACGUGGGGUGAGUCUGCUCCAUCUAGUCAAUUACUGAACUAAAGUAAAUGCAAAAAUUUCCUUCUGAUGCAAAUUUAAGAUGUUCAGUGGUUUUAAGAUCCAGCUACCAUUUCCCAUUUGCAACAACAUAAUCACAAAUACUUAUUCCUGUGAUGAAUCCAUGUAUAUAUUUAAGGCAUUAUAUGUACCUGAGAUGUGAUAAAUAUGCGAUUUAGUGCAUCUGCAUCAUUGCUGGCUGCACACAUUUCACGUAAUCUUGAAGUGAAACUGGCAUCGGAGGUGUGCAAAUAAACUUUUGCUUCUAAACUAGAACCAAUUAGUUUCCCUAUACGAGCAGCUUCCAGAACCUUAUUCACCUCAGUUCUCAGCUGUUUGUGUUAUUCAAUUUAUAAGCAAGCAAAUAUAUCAUGAUCAGAAGGAUACAUCAUCACAUAAAUAGAGCAACUUUAAAAUGUUAAAUGCGAUGAGGUCACACUGUUACUUUCAGAACAGAGGUGAAGUUGACGCAUUCAAAAUUAUAUAAGUACACGUAUUGGGACCAAACAACAUGGUUUGGUUUGCAAAUUUUAGCUGGGUCAGUGAUUACCUCGAGAAUUUUUUCCCACAACUCAAUUUCUUCAACAGAAAAGGCAAGCCAUUUCUCAUUCAAGGCAGGCCACUUCGAUUCAAAAACAAACUUUGCAAUAGAACCAUCUUGAAGCAGAUAUGGAAAAGGAAGAUUCUGCCAUACAUCCUCAGCCAAAUGAGGCAAUAUUGGAGCAAGAACCCUUGCAAUGGAAAGGAGAUGUGCAGCAAGAACUGUCUGACAACUUCUCCUUGUAAAACUUGUAUUGCCUCUGAAAUUAUCAACUUAAGAGUGUAAUAGAUGCUUUUUAUGUUGACCUAGAUUUGCAGUACACAUUCAUACAUCUGUGUAAAGAUUUAACAGUAACGAAGAAGCUGAAAUUGAAGGAAGAGAAUUACCCAACGUAGAGACGAUCUUUGGCAACGUCAAAAUAGAAAUUUGAUAGGUCAACAAUAACAAACCGUUGUAUGAUCUGGAAUACAAAAUAAUUGUCCAUGUAAUUUACCAUAAAUAAGCAGAUCAAAGUUUUGCAUAAGCUGAAGUAGGGCCCCUAAAAUGAAUAGCAUAACAGCAGAGAGCAGCAUGCAUUCCUAGGGGACUUCAUUCUUCCAAGCAGGACCAAACCAUAAAAGAGAUACAUUACACUGUCCUAGAACUCAGUUCAGCAGAGAUUUUGUCAGGAGUACUGGAUAGGUCCCAACAUUUUUUUGUUCAUAUGAAUUAUAUCAAUUUGAAGAUUGCCUUUUCUCAUAACUCCAAAGUUGACUUUGUCUCAAAUAUAAUUCAAUUACCUUAAAAAUUAGUAUUUAGAUCAUAUACAUCCAUUUACUGAAAUGAAAAGAAUUCUAGAAAUUCAGCCACUUAAGGAAAAUCUUUACCUGGAAUAUUUUGGGAAAUUGAUAGUUUUCGUAACUGUCUCUUAUGUUCUUUACAACAGUUUCCAGCUGAAACAGUGCAUACUUAUCAAUCAUUGGGAGAUCAUCAUAUGCAACUUCAGUGUCAGCCUGCCAAUAGCACAAGCAGUAUAAAAGUCAGGGAGUUGAUUGUUCAGCAAAAAAUUAUUAAACUUUGACAGCUAAAUUUAGCCAUUUGAGAUAUUUAUUAAACUUACUUUCCAAUCAUGUAGAUUUCCCAAAAGAUAUCUCAGUGUUCCUCGCAACUUCCUAUAUAUUUCAGAUAUUUGUCGAAGAAUUUGAGGACCAACCAUAACGUCACCUGUGUAGUCUACACUAGAAACCCAGAGUCGUAGCACAUCAGCUCCAUAGCCUGGUGCUCCCUGUGCAUAGCAGACAUUGAUACAACUUCUAGGUGGCAAAAUAUUCACAGAAAGGAAUUUUAAGACAAUAUCCAUCAUGACUAACCCCUGCAUUUUUCCCCCCUUCAAUUACUGUUUGUGGAUCUACAACAUUACCCAAAGAUUUGCUCAUCUUAAAACCUUUCUCAUCCAAUACAAAUCCAUGGGUCACAACACCAGAAUAUGGAGCCUUUCCUGUAGAAAGAGAAUAAACAGAAUGAUACAGUAACUUACUGGUUUAGGACAUAAUGUUUUUAUGGAAAAUUUCGGUGACAUAAAAUGUGUUGGAAACAAAAUGCAUCUGAUUACUAGCAUUCCUACCAAAAUAAAUAAAUAAAUAAACAAACAGAAAUAAUUUUAAUUCAAUAAUUUUCAGGAUAGCAUUAUUACUUCAAAGCAAUCUGCUCCAUGAAGAAAACUCACACCUCCUUGUUACAUAAUCAAAAUUAAAUUUAGAUGCAAAUUACCUUUUGCAGCGAUACUUGUCAGUAAAGAGCUCUGAAACCAUCCGCGAUGUUGAUCCGAACCUUCAAGAUACAGAUCUGCAGGAUAACUAAGACCAGUCCUUUUUUCCAACACAGCAGCCCAUGAAGAACCUGAAAUAGCAUAUGAACUGAGAAAGAUAAGAUGACUGGUAGAGAAAAUAAGCAAUAACAAGUUUGGACAUUUUAAACCAGGAAUAGCAACGUUGUUCACAUUUAUAAUAUCAACCUAUUUUGUUCACAUGAAUCCUGCGAUGCACAUGGUACAUGUAAAGAAAACAGGUAAAGAACAGCAAUAAAAGUUCUGUGUAACUAUUGAUACUAACAUUCAUGCACAAUUCCAUCAAACCAUAGAGGUUGUCAAUCUAGCAUCAGAAUAGUUCAUAGAAAACAAGGUCCAUAUAAGCCUAUAAUUAAACUAUUUAAUCUCAUAAUACCUGAAUCAAACCAUACAUCCAUUGUAUCUGUCCCUUUUUCAUAGUCUGAUGCCCUAUCACGAUACUUUUCAGGGAGUAGGUCAUUCACUGUCAUAUACCACCAUGCGUCGGUACCCUUCUGAGCUAUUAUAGCUGUUAAAGUAAUGGCAUAAAUCAGACAUCAGGACCUAAAACCGUGAAACUAUCAAAAACAUUAAACAAAAGGUUAGCAAAAUACUGAAAACAUCUUUAGACAAUAAGAGCAAGGUAUCACUGAGAAGAGCAGACAAGCACAUGGAACAAAACAAAACUUGGGGAAAAAAAAUUCUAACUAAACAAACUUAAUGAAGAAAGUGAGAAAGCCACUGCUGUUUCUAGAAGGCUUACACUUGAUAUGAUCAAUAGUCUCUUCAUUCAUAAGCGGUUCCUUUGAUUCCACGUGAUAAAAGACGGGAAUGGGCACGCCCCACGUCCUUUGCCUUGAUAUGCACCAGUCAGUGCGAGUUGAAAUCAUUGCGGAAAUUCUGUUUUCUCCCUGAAGAGUGGUUAUGCAUUUGGCUAUUUUAACAAGAAAUUACCAAUAAUAUAUAUAAUCAUUCGAAAUACAACAGAAUUUACAAGAAUCAUAUCACAUUGCAAUUGCAAUUCAUGAGCACUGUUUAGUUUGUCUUAAUGCCCUUGCAUUAACUUCUAAGUUCUAUAACAGCGUGCACAGUCAUGCUGCAGUUAAUAGACAGGUUUUGAACUACUGAAUUUCAUAAAUCCAUAAAAUAAAAAUUUUUCCCAAAGAAUUCAAACUCGUAAGCUUUACAGAAGCAUAAUUUACCUAACUGGAACUAUAUUCAAAAUGACAAACUUGAAUGCAUAGAAUUGACAUAGUGAGAAAGGAAAGCCUUGUAAACACAUUUGAAAAGGCCAUUUCUAGGUAGUUCGUUCAUUAAGCAAAUGUGCCUCAAGAACUUGUAUUUAUAUCACUUCAAAAGGAGAUGCGGGACUCGAUGGAAGAAAACACAUUCAAAACUUUGAAUUAAAAGCACAGCCAUGAAGAUCUAUCGUCACCAGAAUUCCCACUGAAUUAAACCUUAUGAACAUCAGAACUUCAAUACAGAACAUAUAGAUGCCAACAAGCACAAACACAAGAUGACUAUAAUACGAAUUUUUGAAUACAAAUAGAGAAAAAGAUGAAGAACACACUUCAACUAUAAAUAAUAAGUGAUUUUUAACAUUGUAACUUAUAGAGUACUAAAAGAAACACCUGAGGCGGAACCCAUUUUACAUGGCCAAUUGCAUCCAUAGCAGCCUGGCGAAAACCUUCUACAGAUGCAAACCAUUGCUCUGUGGCUCUAAAUAUUGUAGGUGUUUUUUCUCUCCAGUCAUAUGGAUACUUAUGUUCUGCAUGAGAGAGAAAGGCAGUUUGUUACGGACAACAGGUACCUUUUUCUCAUCCAUAUAAAGAAAAUAUGGUUAUCAGCAGAAAGGAUGAGAACAAAUUUCUUGACGUUGGAAAAGGAUCCAACUUACCAUAUGGCUCCUCCAUGAUAAGGGACAUUUUUUCAUCCAGAAAAUUCACUACAGAGACAUUGCCAUCCCCGAGUACAUCAAGCCCGCUAAAUUGUACAGCUUCUUCAGUGAAUUUUCCAUCAUCAUCAACAGGGGAAAAUACAGGCAACCCAUAUUUCAUGCCAGUUAUAUAAUCCUCCUGACCAUGACCAGGAGCUGUAUGCACCAGUCCAGUUCCUGAUUCUGUUGUGAUAUAAUCUCCUCCAAUGACAACCGGGCAUUCCCUGUUAUCUAUUGGAUGAACAUAUCUGAAAGCAAAUUUAAAACCAGAUUUGAGUUUUAAAAAAAUGAUGACAACAACAAAUCAAGUACACAUAAUUAUUUCAUAGUUAGCCAUUUUCAUUUUCAAACAAAUAAAAAGUUCAAUUUCAUUAUUAACCUGCAGUUUUCAAGAUCUGACCCUGAAAGGGUUUUUCUGAUCACAAGCUUCACACCCCAUUUUGCUUCUAGAGUUGACACAAGAUCAGAUGCUACAAUAAGAAAAGGCUUCUUUUGCUGCCGCAGAACAUUACCACGCCGUCGUUUUUUGUUUGCAGAAGAUGUAAGAGCAUCUUCCAGGGACUGAACUUCAAUUACAGCAUACUGAAGCUUGGCAUUGACUGCAACGGCUGAGGGCAGCAGGUCCCAAAAGAAUAAAGAGAAAAUAAAAUGAUGAGAGAGAGAGACAGAGAUGCAAGUUAAAAAAUUUGUCACAAGGCAAUCGAAGAUUCAUUUGUUCUGUCUAGGUCAAGGAUGGCAUUAGGAUUAAAUGAAUACACAAGGAGCAGUUUAAGGCUGAUAAGGAAAAUGAAAUAUGAGGGUGGUUAUUGAGGUAAUAACCUAAAUUUCAGAGGAAGCAUUUUCCCCCCUAUGAUUGUCCACCAAAAUUGCAAUUUCAAGGAAUUAGUACCUCCUCUGGACUCAGUUCUACUUUUAAGUUUAUUUGGUUACCUCACACCAAAAAUGGCAAACCAAAGACAUUAAAAAAAUAUAUAUAUUAUGUUGACGUUAAUGAUUGCAGUCAGGAAUGCAAAAGAUAUAUGCCAAAUUUUGCAUGAGAAUAUGAAUUAGAACACAUGCGAUAUGAAAACAAGAAAGAAAAAGAACCACUUAGAAUUCAAACAGGUUAAUGCAUAUACAACUACAAAGACUUACCAGCAUUGGCUGGAACAGUCCAGGGAGUUGUGGUCCAUGUGGCCAAGCACAAAUCUGGAAAGAAUUCCUCUAACAACCGGUUUGAGGUUGGAGGAGCACUCACUAACCGAAAUAUGGCAUAUAUGCUUCUUGAAACAUGCCCUUCAGGAUACUGCAAAGAAAAAUAUUGUAAGUUUAUGUUGUAAGUUAAUUAAUGAAAAGAAUCCAGUUAAUUAAUAAAAAGGCAACAUAAAAGCAAAAGGACCAAUGGUUUUAUUAGAAAAGACUCCAGUUAAUUAAAAAAAAGGCAACAUAAAAGCAAAAGGACCAAUGGUUUUAUUUGAAAAUGUUGUUGUAAGUUUGAGUUUCUCGCUGUAUCUUUUUGAAUGUAGUACUGAGAGAGAUGCUCAUAAAUAUAUUACAAGCUCUACAAGAGACAUUGCUGCUUAGUGGUUUAAACGUCAAGUAAGCAAAAAAAAUCUGAAGAUACAUAUCAUCUCUAACCCAACAAUAUAGAUUGUACAGAUAAAAACAACCAAAAGUAAAAUUAAAUGAACAAGUUCAAGUACAUUUAGAAACCAUCACUAGUCAAUACAAGCCAUUAUGUCAUCACUUCUAUUUGUUUAAGAAAGUGACACUUGAAUCACAUUUAGUAAGGUUAGUGUAAAGCAGGGAAAAAAGAGCAUGCUCCUAAAUUUCAAAACUUAUUUUACCUCCAACUCAGCCUCUGCAAGAGCUGUACGGGAUUUAGGACUCCAAUGAACCGGUUUCCGGCCCCUAUAAAUGUAUCCUUUAAGUGCCAUUUGGCCAAACACUUCAAUCUAUCAAAAAAUAGGAUAUAACAAAUCCUCAAAAGUUUAUCAUACUAAUUCACUGAACCAGAAAGUCACAUGCACAUUGAAUGAAAAUGAGACAAGUACCUGGGCAGCUUCAUAUUCUGGAUCUAAUGUUAGAUAAGAUUCAGGCCAUUCUGCCCACACUCCAUAGCGCUGCAACAACAGAAACAAUUAAUCAGCUGUUACUAGCAUGGGGGUUGUAUAUUAGAGAUAACUAUGACUUGGUAACAUGCAAACAAAAUACCAACUAUUAACACCAAAAGAAAAAAAAAAAAAAAUUGGGCUACAACCUUAAAUGAUCCCAUCUGUGUUUUAACAGUCGCCUUGGCAAACUUGGCAGCCUUUGCUCUUAAUUUUAAUGGGCUCAGAUCCUUUCUGGCAUUUUGAUCCAAUGAUUGCAGAACUGUAUAAUUUGUGAUGACAAUCAACCUCUCUUGUCUUACCAAACAGACCUGACUUGGUACUGAAAAUACUUUAAAACACAUUUUCCCUCAUUCUAGGAGAAUCAGUAGGCAGGCAGCAAAAAUGCAUAUCCUGAUUGACAUUAUGAAAAGACACAGAACAAUAUCUAGAAUAAUCACAUACAAUCAAAUCAUUACCACCUAUUCAAAUCUUUAUAACUUCAGCCAAUUUAGCUAAUUUCCUGCAGCAGGCCAUGAUGUCAAUCUAUUAACCAGAAAAGAAGCCAAUACUUGCCUUUGUUCUCAAUUGGUAGGCCAUGACAAUCCCAACCAGGAAUAAAGCGAACCUUAUGGUUUUGAAGAAUCUGGACACAAAAAAGAAAAAAAAAAGAGCAUGGCUUAAAUAAGUAAUAUUAAGAUCAUUUUUACACCUAUAUAAACAGAUGUGUCAAGAAAAUGAGUCUAGCUCACAUUCUCAUUAUUGACAUAUUAAUAUUGCUAAAAUACAGUGGGAAAAUUACAAAAAAAAAUUGGAGUAUAAAACAUGACAGAAAUUUUUACGGCAUAAAGCUGAUUACUUUAUUCUUCUUUAUUUCCUUUCUUUUUCUCUUGUUUGUUGCUUAGGGUGAUUCAUCCCAACUUCCAAAUUGCAGAAAGGAAAAAAUUCAGAAUUUUUUAUUUGCUUCUUCUCUUUUUCGCUUCGAAAUGGAGUAAACAUAAAUUCAAUACUUUAUUUCGAAUUGAAUAAAUAAAAUCGACUUUUUUUGUUCUAUAUGUCUGAUUUUCUCUAUAUUAGAAAAACGAUGUAAAAAUGCAGGGCAAUAAUAAAUGUCUUGGUGAGGGAACACACCUUAUAACGGUUAAUUAUAUCCUUCAAGAUUUUAUUCAGGGCAUGACCAAUGUGUAGGUCACCAUUGGCAUAAGGAGGACCAUCAUGAAGAACAAAAUUUCCCUGACAAAGCAAUUGAAGGCGGCUAAUAAGUUUACGUAAAUUGAACUGAUAUACAAGGAUAAUUACAAAACCCACCCCAUCAUUUUUGUCGACAACUCUCUUGAAAACCUGAUUAUCCUCCCAUAAUUUUUGAAUCUCAGGCUCCCUCGUCGUAGCAUUUGCUCUCAUGCUAAAUGUUGUCUUAGGCAAAUCAACUGUAUGCUUGUAUUUUCCUUCUUGUUUUUCCCCUGAAUAAUUCCAAUCAAUUCAUAAAAAAGAAGUUACACAUUACUUAAACGGAUGUAAUAUGACUCUGUAGUAGUAUAAGCACAAAAUCCUUUGAAAAAUGUCAUUGUAAUUGUCUAAUUCCCAAACCAGCAAACACACACCCUCAGAUGCUUUCUUGGCAGCCAUAACAGGACCUCGAGAUCUUCGCUUUGAAGUACCAAAUUGGUCACUGGAAUAUGUACAAUAACGCCUUGUAUUCAAGAAAAUCGAAGAGCUUCCUUUGUAGUAGAAUAAGCUAGCAUUCCUUAGAGAUGAAGAAGUUGUUCGUGAUAAAACCUGACAAAGUUCAACACAUUUUAUCAGUGGCAACAGCGAAAUUAAAUUCUCACUCUCUUCGUCACACUCUCUCUGUGACAUUUUAUCAAGCACAUGAAGGAACACAAUCGAUACUCAACAAGUAACGCAAAACCCGACUAGUUUCGGUAAAUCUAAUCCUUAAAGUUCACUCAUAACCCUUCCAUUUACAUACAGCACUGCAAUUACAAAAGUGGCAUCAUGUGAAGAAGAAUGGUAUAUAUACCCCAGAAGAAGAUGAGUGAAACAUGGAUAUUGUAGCUUCACCGGGACUGAACGCCAAGGACUUAAGAAGAGACAUGAUUUUGCUAUAUAGAAAGCUUUAUAAAUUCUAAUUAUUCAUUGGUAACUGUCAAAACAGACCAGUUCUCCAUUCUAGGAACUGGAUAUAGGAAACUUGUGUGGAUGAGUGAACAAAAGCAAAGCAGCCCGUUAUUUUCUAUUCAAACGUGUCCUUACGCUAAACACUACCGUUUGGUAGCGCUGCAAAUAAUAUAUCGAAGCACUGUUUUUAAACGAUCAGUGGACUCUUUUUUAAUGAACCAGUGAAAUAUCGGCUAUCGCAAAGUUGAAAAGCCGUGGCUUGGGUUUACAAUGGCUUAAUGGCUUUUCUACUGAGAAAAGGGAAAUGACAUAUACAGUACGAAUAGAGGCAAAUAUAAAAUUAGUAGCAGAAAAUUUCUAACUAUCUUGACAACCAAAGCUGUAAAAAAAUAAUAAUAAUAAAUAAAUAAAAUAAAAUAAAAUAAGGUUAAGGAUGAACAGAGGUCUCUAUUUAUAGAGAUUAAAUAUAUAUAAGCUCAUUAUAUAAAUACGAUUCGGCCUUUCAUUAAACUGUAUAAAAUUAUAUUUAUGAGUUGUGACUUAAUUGGUAAUGCAAAUUGAAUAUGUGAGAAAAACUAUAGGAUUUGAUUCCCAGUAAGUACAUCUUCAGAAAGGGAUAAGAGCCUUAUUAUAAUUAAGUCCCGAGUCGAAUUAGAUGGUCUCUAAUGAUGGAGUCCAGAUACCUGUAGUUUAUAUAAAAAAAAUUUAUAAACCCAUUAUAUAAAUAAUUAGAUAAAGACAAAUUGAACUUUGUCAGCAUAUAUUCUUGAACUGUAAAAAAACAAAAAAUUACAUUAAAAUUUUUAACACACUACCAUGAAGUAAGUUUGUGAAUGGCCCAAACAAUUUUCUUAUCGGGUAAAAUCGAUGCCAUGGAGGAAUGUUUUGACCUAACAAGGAAACUUUUUCCUUUCCAGAAAAUUUUAACGACAGUAAAAAAUUUUACUGGGUGUUGCGUAUUGAUUUGUAGAUUAUCCGUAUCAACGAGCAAUAUAAUCUCUUUCCUUUUUAAAGUGGGCCGGACUAUUGGUAUAUCUUAAUAUCCGGCCCAACUUGAGUUGGUGAUAUUGAUGGGCCUUCCUUACCUCAUUCCUUUUGAUGAUAAAAAAUUUGUAUUAAACUAUUAAUUAUUCCAAAUAUUAAGUAACGAGUUUUGUAUUUAACUAGCGAUUAUUUUUUAAAUAAAAGCAUAGAAUUUGAUUAUAUUUAACUACAAAUUUUAAAACUUGAUUUGAUAAAAUAAAAUAUUUAUCCUAAUUAUGUUCUUUAUUAAAAAAAAAUUAUUCGCAUCAAAACAAGAAAUUAAUGAAAUUUCAAUUUUACAAUUUGACUUUGACAAUAUUUUUUCUUAAUACACUAUAAUUAAGUACGUGAUGAAUAUUUAUAUAGACUUGGUUUUUUUUUUUUUUUUUUUUUUUUUUUUGGUUUUUUUUUUUUUUUUUGGUUUUUUUUUUUUUUUUUGGUUUUUUUUUUUUUUUUUGGUUUUUUUUUUUUUUUUUGGUUUUUUUUUUUUUUUUUGGUUUUUUUUUUUUUUUUUGGUUUUUUUUUUUUUUUUUGGUUUUUUUUUUUUUUUUUGGUUUUUUUUUUUUUUUUUGGUUUUUUUUUUUUUUUUUGGUUUUUUUUUUUUUUUUUGGUUUUUUUUUUUUUUUUUGGUUUUUUUUUUUUUUUUUUUUUUUGGUUAAUUUUAUUCUUAUGUAGGAGUUGUGUUGGUCCCCCGUUUGGGUGGUUACAUUGGAGAUGGAAUACUAAUGCUUGCUGCAACUGUAAAAUUAGUAUCUCUGCUAUUAAAAGACAGACAAAUAAGCAAAUAAUCACAGAAAACUUUUGAGACUGAUCAUCAGAUUAGAUGGAUAAAGAAACUGAACUCAGAACAACUAUAUGCAGGCUUGAUUCCAUUAUUUUACAGCUCAUAAAACCUACAGAAAUAACUUAAAAUGUCCUGCAGAUGGAGCAAAGAUUUUAUAAUUAUGAAGCUGGGGAAUGACAAUAACUAGUCCUGACUGAAUGAUUUACCCUUUCAAAAUUUAAUUAAUGACUGUAGAUACUUGGAAAGCAGACCUAGUAAUCUAGCAUUUUUCAGUUUCUUGCAGCACAACCAGAAUAGACACUCUUCAAGGCAGAUAUUACCAUUGGAACAAUACUGAUGAGAGCAAAUUGGAGUUCUGAGCUACUGGUUUUGAUGGUGAUUUGUCCACUUUGCUUGUUGUUCAUUCCUACAUUGAUAGCCAUUUUUGAAUUUCGACCAACAGAGAACUGAGAUUGCAGGUUGGCUGUUACACCCAAAUUGCCUCUCCAAUUCAGUAGAGACAACCCCAAUGUGGUCUGAUCCUGCUCCAUAGGAAAGUCCUUGCUCUUAAGGCGAACUUCAAAGUUUGCUCCAUAUGCUGUAUCACCUUCAGAUGUAACAGCACCAGCACUUCCAACCAAAGCCAAGCGCUUUCCAACUGUAAUCUGGUCCUCAAUUUUGAGUCCUGUGGCUGCACGUUUCCCCAGCAGAGUAAUGGAUAUUCCUGCAGUUGUUUUGUUUAUCUUAAAGUUCUUGACUUUGGUUUCAGCUCUGAGGAUACAUGCAAGCUGCCUUCCAAAAGUCUGAACGUCGAAUCCUGCCAUUGUUGAUCCAUUUUCUUUAUGUUUUGCACAAAUUGAGGAAUCCAAACGGAUGUUAAACACUUUCUUAUCCUUCAUGACUUGAACAGUAAAUGCACUUGGAAAUCUACCAGCAACAGCAAGAUUUCUGUCAAGAGCAAUACCAUCAUAGCCACAGUCAUGGUCCCAGCCCUGUGAUUCCACAAUUGGCCUAACAAGAAGCUCUGAUGUCGGCUCCAACAUCCGGUAUCUAUAAGAAGGAUUGUCACUGUCAAAAGAAGGUGAGAGGGCAAAGUCAGGCAUUGUAACAGGCACAACUGCUGGACCUCCUUCUUCCUGUUCAAAAUCUUCUUCAGUGUAAACAUGAUCUAUUCUGCUAUCUUUGCCUUUCUUCUUGAGCUCCUUCAACCUUUUAAUCUCCUCUCUCCACUGCUUCUUUUGGAGGAGUUUCGCCCGAUAAUCAUAUUCCUCAAGAUACGCUCUCUUGUGCUCCUUGCUGAGCUUAUUAAUCUGAGAUCUCAUCAAGGGCUUGAAGGGUGGGAGUUGAUCGUAUUCAUCAUCAUCUCCAUCAGAAUCUGAUAAAUCCAACAACUCCACAUCUGAAUCAACAUCAUCACUACCCUGAUCAGCAGUGAGUUUUGGAUGAGGACGACACUGCAAUAAAGAAGACACCAAGUGGGAUAAAGGCAGAGAACGGAGCCUUAAGCCAAACAUCUUCUUGUGAUCAUAAGGAUCUUGAGGUUUAGUUUUUAAGUUCGCUUCUAAUUCGGAUAAAAUCUUCAAUGAGUAGCACAAGAGUAGUAAUUGAGGUCUCCAACUUUGUCCAUUGGGGAGGACCCUUUCUCCUUCUUUGUUCUUUUGACACAAUAAAUGAUUCUCAACAAAAGACACCGGAUGCAUCAUACUUGGGUCCAUUAGACGUGGAUCACCAGUUGCUCGACUGAUGGAGAGCUGAACGGCAUGGGCUCGUUGAGUGGCAAACAUCUCAAAAUUUAAGGGUGACCCAGAUGGCCCAUCAGGAGGUGAAGCACUUGCAUGGGUGAGAAUGACAAUAGCAUUUCGCCAUAUUGAUGCAGAGAGAGAAUUAGUGAGUGAAACUAACAGUGGCAAAUCAUUGAGAUCUUUUGUAUGAGCGUCUAGCCUAUCAACGUAGAGGACAACAUCUGGAGGGAACUUCUUUAUCCACUUCUUUAUAGAUGCUAAUAUUUUCCUGUUUAUAGGUUCAUCCUUCACAGGGGUUCUAAGACCUGGAGUGUCUAGGAUUCUGAUCCUAACUCCAUCUACUGUUCCAACAACCUCCUUAACCCUUGUUGUAGCAGGUUCAAAUGCAUUGAUCACAACUUUCUUCUCACCAAAAAUAGAAUUAAUGGUUGCACUUUUCCCCACUCCAGUUUUCCCAAAAACCAAAAUGUUCAAACAGAAAUCUAAAUCAUCUUUGCCCUCUGCUUCAAGCUGCAUAACCAUUCUCUUGGCAGAUUCAAGGCUAAAUUCUUGGCUAACAUGUUCCCCUGCAGCUAGGAACAAUUUGUGCAACAAUGACGCAACUAUAGAAUCUUCAGAAGACUGUCCCAGUCGCUGAACAAGCCUCAAGAACUUCACCCUAAUGUGAUGUAUCUUUUCAAUCUUCUUCUUUUCUUCUUCACUUAUAUUUUCGUUCACAGCAGCCUUGACAGUAUCUGAUUGCAAAGUACGUCCUAUAGUGUCAAAUGAGGAACCUGAACCAACAGGGUGAUCAAAAGUGUAUGCUCUGGAACCAUCAGCAGAAGUUAUGGUGAUGCUGCGUCCAUCCAACUUAGCACUAGCUGCUGCUUUCAAAAGAGCAGCCAAUGCAGCAGAGUCAAAAAACCCCUUUUCGUCAUGAUCCUUAUCAGUCUCCAAUUCAUCAUCUGAGUCGGGAACAAUCUGCCCAUCAUAGAAAUCAUCAGCCACGGGAAGAGGAGAGGGGGAAAAACUUCUCUGCAACUCACUCAUGAUAUGUUCACUAGUUCCAGAGCUUCUAAAUAUCAUAUCUUCAAUAUCUUCAUCAGAAAGCCAACUCUUUUGUGCUCCUAUUUUUUGUGAAUCAAGCUUUACUUCAUCUUUGAUAUUCCCCUGUGAUGCUUUUUCCAAUCUAUCAUGUUCGGACAUUUCAGGCAAAUCUCUUUUUACCAAUAAAUCCAAAGCCAUCUCAUCAGCAUGGUUUCCAGAUUCAACUUUAAUGGCAUCUUCACGCGCAAGAGAUUCAGAACUCAUACCAGUUUCUGGUCCAGUUUUAUCUUCCAGUUUCCCAUAGUCGCUGCCUUCCUCAAGAGCAUCACUUCCAUCAUAAUUCUUCUUGAAAUCUGCAGCUUUUUCUGCCUCCACUUCCACUUCCAGUUCUUGAGGCUCUAGCACAAUUUUCUGGACAGAGUCGUCAACAGGUUUAAUUACAGUUUCAAAGGAAGUAUGUUCCUUUAACAGGACAGCACUAUCAUCAACCUUCAGCUCUGCCACGAUAUCAUCACAAACAUUAACAACUUCAGCAAUUUGUUCCUUCACAGGGCUAGCACUGCAAUGCUCAGAGAACUGAUAGUUAAAAUCAUUCACCACCAUACUAUUUUCAUUGUAGCAAUCUGUACCAUUCAAUUCAAUCUUUGCCUGCUCCAAAUUCUCAAAUGGUAGCCUUUCAUCAACAAAAUGCAUAGCAUCAUCGUCCAAUUGAGAACCGGUCUCCAAGACAUUUUCUUCGCAUUCCACUAAAGACUCAAUAUGAGACUCUGCCGCAACAUGCCCAUCAUCCUCAACUAAUUCAAUUGAAACAGAGUAAUCGACAACAAGUUUGACAUCUUCCUUCAUUUCUGAAUUCUUGUUAUUCUCCACCAAAGGCUCAACAUGAAAAUCAUCCUUGAUUAAUUCAACUGAACAGUGCUCGUUAAUGGGACCCUCUGCUGCGAAGGCAUCAUCUUCACGACCGGAAACACCAUUGUCAGCUCCAACAAAUUUACCAGAAACCAAAUUCCCAUUGUCUCUUGUUAGUAAAAAUUCAGACUCAUUCACAGCCGAAAAAUCACUUUGCACCAAUAACUCAAUUUCUUUAUCUUCAUCAACAUCUGACCCAUCCGACACUUUAACUCUUGGUGCACUAUCCACGUUCUCAAGAACCCCAAAACUAGGACCUGAAAAUCUGCCAUCAGCACCCCCGCCACUUGCUAUAUCCUCAUCAGACAUUAACUCCUCAAAGUCAUCGUCAUCCAUUGACAAUUGGGCAAUAGGGAUAACCCGUGGGAAACUCGUAUUAUCUAAUUUGACAGAUUUAAAUUCAUUAGUAACCCCGCUCUCUGGGAAAUCAUUAGUAACCCCGCUCUCUGGAUUUCCCACACUUUCUUCAUCUGUAUCCGUCAUAUAGGGCCUAGAAAGUUUAUAUUUGCCAAAAAAGACACUAGCUUCUGGCUUUUCCUCAUCUGAAUCGCCAACAAAAAGCUUCUCUGAUGCACUUUCAAACUCCUCACCACUAACAUACUCCUCAGCCUCAGACCCAUUAUCAACACUGCUACUAAUAUCACUAGUAUGACCGUUAGAUUCAAAAUCAGAAGAAUCAUCUUCCGGAGUAAUAGGAGCUCGAAUUGCGAGAGAACCUGAAAGCGAAGGGGGCCCUUGUGUAGUUAAAAGAGAGACUUGUGGCUUUGAUGCCAUGGCUUGUAGCUCAGAAAGCAAAACACACACAAUUACCAAACAAAAAAAAGAAGUGGCGAGAACUUUAUUUUAUAUUUUUUUCCUUUUUAGGGUUUGUGUUGGUCGUAAUGAUUCUUCGAAUCUUUAAUGGUGUUCAUUGUGAACUUUUUGGUUUAGGGUUGGUUGUGAGGGAAGGAGGAGCCAGUCACAAGCUGUAGGGAUUAGUAGAUAGGUUCUUUGUUUGUUUUUGUUCAUUGUUCAGUAUGGAUGGAUUCGGUUUUGGAGUUUUCUAGGAGAUGAAGACACAAGUGUAAUGUGUUGUAGGACAUUUAGGCUUUGUAUUGUCUCUUGUGAGUGACUAUGAUGUUUGGUUUUGGGAAUAGGCAUUGGGUUGGUGUUUCAAUGCGCCACGCACAAGGUCCGUAGUCCAUACAGCCAUUGAGGGCUUGGAACUUGGAAGCUUUUCAGCUGUCACUAACCUGUUUUGCGGUCACAAUUUUUUUUUCUUUUUUUCGGGUUUUUUUCAGCUCGAAAUAAUUGAAUUUCCACCAUGAGUCCAUUCUGGGGCCAAAAAAACAAAUUGAUUAACACAAGUAGAAAAUUAGAAAAACUUUCAAUUAAAGUGUAACCUCAAUUGAUUUUAUUUCUAAACAUAUUAACUUGGUAAGUUUCAAUUCAGGUUACAGGAAAAUCAAGAGAGGCGGCUUCAAAUUUUAAAUUAAUAUAGAGGUUUAUAUCAUAGUCUGCUGCUUGUAAAAUAUGGUUGUAACCAAGCAGUCUUUCUUUGACUGUCUGCUCCAAUCCCCAUUAUGCGCCAUGACAGUUGCCCAUCCAAACCAUACAAAUGUUGUGGACCUUUUGUUUUUUAUUAUUUUCGCAUAAUAAGACUGUUGCAAAAACUAUAAAUAAGUACUUAAAAUUGAAAUUAAUCAAGUUAAAUUAUAAGAAAAAAAAUACCAAAGAAACAAUAAUAAUUUAGAUGGGCCAAAUUUUCUAAAGCCCAUCACUCAAGGCCCGUUUCUAACCAAAACAAAAAAUUUUAAUUUUGAAUUGGUGAGGUGCGCCAGGCCAGUGCUAUAGUGCAACGCACAGGCGACGCUCGAAGACCCCAGUAGCAAGCUACUGUAGUGAGCCUUCCCCCUAAAAAAAUUAAUUUAAUAUCAUGUGGACCAAUGGCCCACGUAUCAGAUAUUAAACUGAUAAGAACAGAUACUACACUUGAUCUUAGCCAAAAGGCCGAGAAAGGUAUGAUUUGUUAACUGUUGAGCUUCGCUACUUAUAAUGCCAGUCGCGGCGCCAGUAGCUUAGCUGAUCGAUGUGGGAUAGAUACUAUAAAGACUGAUUGUUCGCUUACUGCCAAACCUAAACAGAAGAACAAAAUAACAGAUCAGUAUAUAUUUAUACACCAGCUAAGUACACAAAAUUAGCUUCAAUCUAUAAUCUUAUACAUGGGUUCUAAAACUUAAAUCAAGCAAAAGAAAGAGUGAAUUUAUAAUAACUCAAAAAGAUUAACUAUCUUACCAAAAUAUGCACAUAUCAACAAAAUAACUUCAAUCCGAUAGCAUAGACUUUUGUGAUGUUUAUGUUUCUUUAGAAAUACAUUGAGGAAUUUAUUGACCUGUGAUUCAAUGUGAGACUAGAAGUUUUUCUCUAUAAUUUUUUGUUAAAUUCUUCAAUAUAAAUAAUAAUUUACUUGAUGAAUUAAUUUUAAUUUCCAUUUCAAUAAUUGGUUUCAUAUGAAACUAUAUAAUGUAACUCCAUGGGCUGUGGUUUGGGUUUGGGCUAGGCCCAGCUUUCCCAUUGUUUAAGAAACUCCGAACAGAGACUUACAAGCCCUUUUUCCUCCGCUUCCAAUGGCGGGUUCCUAUAGCGCCACCUUCCCUUUCUCUGCGCGUACCACAAUCCCCACGGCCACCAGCCGUGGAUUUCGACUUAAGCCGCUCCCCGCUAUCUCUGUUUCUGCUUCAUUUCCGUCUAACCGCACAAAGAGGAAAAAUCACUUACGCCCUAAAAUCCUCAAAACCCUAACUAAACCCUUCCCUACCGCUCCUCUCCCUCACAUCUUUCUAGUAGAAAACAUACCAGUACCCAAUCCUAUUUCGUUUCCAUCCGCAAACGACGCCGUCUGCAAGGAAAUUCCUAGCGAAAGUGUCCCUCCUGUAGAAGCAGAUAAUUUUUUGGAAGAAUUUCCUGCAUCGGAGACUAUUGCCGCAGUUGGAGAACCGAGUGGCAUAGUUAGUAAAAUUUCUGCAAAGUCUGUGAUAAAAUACGGGGGUUAUUUGGUUGGGAUUUUUCUGUUUCAAAAUUUUUUUGUUUGGUUGGUGGGAAAUACUAAUUCCCUGGAAAAAGAAGAGAGACGGAUUGAUUUUCGUGGUAAAGUGAAUAUUUUGCCAAAUGGAAGCAAUGUGGCUUACUUUGAUGAAACGGAACUGGAAGAGAAAAUCAGUGAAAUUAGGGCAAUGGCAAGAGAGGCAAGAGAGAAGGAGAAAACGGAGAGAAAGGAGGGUAAUGAAGAGAGUGAAAUUGAGAAGGAGAUUGGUGCAAGAUUGGCUAAGUUAGAGAAGAGAUUGAAUUCAAAGAGAGAAAAAUUACCCGAAUCGUUUAUGAACUAUUUAGGCCUUUUUGGAAAUGAAAAAGAGGAAGAUGGGAUUGGUGAGAAUAAUUUGGAGUUGAAAGAGGAUAAAAAACCACUUAGCUUCAAAAAAAAGCUUAAAUUUAAGAACCCUUCAAUGAACUCAAGGAGUAGUCCGAAAGGGUUUUCAGGUUCAAGGAGCUCUGGAAGGUCAAGGAGCGAAGAUGGGAGCUUUCAAAAUGGUGAAUCAAGACAAAUUGAUCCUGGGACUAUGAAUAUGGAUAGCAGAAGGGAAGACAUAAGCACUCAGUUGAAUUCAUCUCAAAUAGAUGUCAGCAAGUUGCAGAAGGAAAACCAGGAUUUUACAAAGGAAAUUCAGUCUGGUAUGUAAAUAAAAUAUUUUUGGGCGCAUGAUUCAUUAAUUUUUUAUGUAUAAAUAUUUUUUUAUCCUUUUUCAUUUAUGUUUUUGAGGAAAUGAUGAUAUUCGUUUUAUUGAUCUGGGAAAGCAGAUUCUUUUAUACUGUGGAUAUUUUAUAUUUUUGGUUUGUGAUGUACAAUUAUUACUUUAAGAUAGAUUUUAACUUGACAUAUAAAUGGGGGCAAAUUAAAUUUCAUGCUUAAAGGGAGAUAUUGAUGAUGUUGAACACUGGAAUUUGCCACUUUUGCUAUUUGAUAAAUUGCAGUUAUAAAACUCUGUAUGAACAUAGGGUGAUUGUACAAAUUUUUAGGUUCUGCCCAGGAUGCUAGAGAAGAAAGGUUGUCUAGUGAAGAGACAAAGUCACAGAAAUCAAGGGAUUUCGGGAGACAUAAUUCUCAAAGCUUAAGAACACAAAAUCAGAGAACUGCUACAAAAUUUGACGCCCCUGCUUCAUCGAGCAGUAAUGACAGCAGAAACCCUGGAAAGAGACAAGUGGAAAACAGAGUAGGGGAUAAACAAUCAGCUGCACAAACAAAUUUGUGGUGGUCGAAUCUUCCUUAUCUUCUUGUACACAACUGAAACUGUGACUCUCUCUAAUAUUUCUCAAUAAUUUGAAUUGAUAUAUAUAUUUUUUAUGUGCAAUUCCAACCUAAAAACAACAAUUGACCGAUUCCAACAAAAAUGAAUAGUAACUUUGUCCUUUCUAAACCAAUUAAUGUAGGUUUUUACUUUGAUUCCCUGUCAUAAAUUGGUUUUUAAAGUAUAAUUAGCUGUGCACUUAAUCCUUCUAAACCUAUUGCUUAAUUUUUUAAAUGUACAAUAAACAACAAUGAAUUUCUUCAGUUAAUUUUGUCAAGAAAUAAUUUUCUAUGUGCUCAAUUUCAGGGUAUCCAUAUAUGUAGAAGAUCAGAAGAUGAAAGACCAGAAGCACUUUAUACUUUAAGAACACCUUCUCAAGCAUAUAAUCAGGAAGAGUCAUUCUGUGUAGUUGCUUUUGAGGACCAUUUUGACGCCAAUCACUUCUGCUAUUUGCUUGAAUGCUACUUUGAAGAUUUAGGGGAAUUCAGUGUUGAUGUUGUGCCGCUGUCAACAAAAGUAAGUAACACGAAUUGUAUGACUAAGCUAAGCCUUUUGCAGGGCAGAGAUUACCAUGGUGGGAUAUAUGAUUUGUGGGCUGGGUAUACAAGGGAUUAGUAUAUGGAUACUCUUUGGUGAGCCCUUUCAUUAAUUCUAAUGUGAUAAAGGAAAAAUUGAACUCUUGCAGGAACUUCAUGAUGCAGUGAGAUCUAACUCCCAGAAAUUGAUUGUUGUGAGGAAGGGGCAACUUAAGCUUUAUGCUGGUCAGCCAUUUGCAGAGGUUGAGAAAGCUUUGUACUCUUUGCUUGAAUGAGAUCAAGCACUGAGUUUGUGGAAGAAAUAAAUGAUCAAGCUUGGGUUUCUCUUCAAUCCGUUACGGCUGACAAUAUUCUUAUGGAAGUUCCUCAAUAGAUUAGAGUUUAAGUUCUUGUAUAGCCAUAGAGAUCUCUUGAAUAUGUGGACAAUUUUCUGAGAGGAAUUUAGUCCUGUUCAGAGGGUAAGCGCUUGUCCUGGUGCUGACAAUUUUGUUUGCUAUAACUGCGAAUUUUAGAAAGAUAGGCUAGAUUGAUUUUUACGAAGAAAGGGUUAUGAAAAUGAAGUACAAAAAACAUGUAUUAUUUGAAAUGUUCCUAUGAAUAAGAAUUUUUGUUUUGAAAAUUUUGAUGUUCCGUAAUAACCUAAUGGCUGAUUGUCCGCUUCUUUUUAGAUGUUGAUGACUCGCAAAAUAACACCCCAAAAAAAGUGAAAAACCUACAAAUAUAUAUAUAUAUAUAUAUAUAUAUAUAUAUAUUUGGAGGUUUUUCACUUUUUUUGGGGUGUUAUUUUGCGAGUCAUCAACAUCUAAAAAGAAGCGGACAAUCAGCCAUUAGGUUAUUACGGAACAUCAAAAUUUUCAAAACAAAAAUUCUUAUUCAUAGGAACAUUUCAAAUAAUACAUGUUUUUUGUACUUCAUUUUCAUAACCCUUUCUUCGUAAAAAUCAAUCUAGCCCCAGUUCUCUCCAAGAGAUAUACGCUAAUGUGAUUAGCGCAGAAUAUCACUAGUUUUUAUUACUGGAUUCAUGCAAAAAUAGAAUUUACAUGAAAUGGACCUACUACUAAACUUCGUUUUCAUCUUUGUCCGUCAAGCAGUUUCUACCAUGCCUUGUACAACUAGGCUAAUUCUACUGUGAACUAGUAAUUUUCACAAUAGACUGAGAGUGAAUGGUUGGCAAAUUGAAUUGGCAAAAGUUUUGCCACGUCUCCUGCUUCUGUUCUUCAUUUUCCGUAUAUGCUUCGAAAAUAGAAAUAACAAGGUUUCUUGCUGCUUCUCUUGCCUCAGGCAGCCUAUCAUUCAACAAAUCAGCAGCCAUUUGUACAAGGGAAACCAGUCCAAACGCUUUCAUUUCUUCCAAGCCCUGAAAUAGGCACUAUUUGUCAAUAUCAUUUUACCUUACAAGCCAAAAUAAGCAAAUACCAGCCUGCAUCAACCUUGUGAGUUAGCAAAAAAAUUACCAUAUCGGAGACAGAUUUGGAGAUGCACAUGGCAGCUUUGGCCCUGACUCUAAGGUUGGCAUGGCUAACACAACCAUGGAGCUUAUGGAGCAGAGACAGCGGAGUCAUGGACCUCACCAUUGCAUCUAAUGCUCUUUCUGCUUCUUCACACACAAACCUUUUAUCUUGAGAAGCUUUGAGGAGUAGUUGCAACAGCUGUACACCGACAAGACAAGGCUAAUUCAUUAACAAAAAAAGCCAAAGAAAAACAGUACAAUCAACGAGAAAAAGGAAAUAAUUGGUCUCACUAAGUUGUCAAAUGCAUCAGUAGUGAAGUGAAGUAAUUCAUCUCCAAAAGCAUUGAAAAUAUCAGAUGAAGCCAUUAUUGAGGUCUUACACAAAGCACUUCUUGGGUUCUUCAUGGCCUUUACCACCACCAACAAUACCUUUUCCCUAUACAAACCAGACAUUAAGCAUACUUCUUUAGCCUGUCCUAUCACUAAAAAAAGACUUCAUUUUUUCUAAGAAAUAGUUCAUACAAGAUUGGGAGCAAGAGAGAGGAGUGAUGAAGCGCAAAUCGUCUAGCAUUAUUCAGCGAUUCGCAAACCUUUGUCCAGUCCUUUGAAUUUAAGCCUUCAAUUAGGCCCUGCAAAUUCAGAAAGUCAAGAGUCGGACCAAAUACUGUGAAGAAACGAAUGCAGAGGAACCCAUUUGAGAUAGAGCAACACGAGACUUACUUGGAUCUUGGAUUCAGGGUCUGGUAUGGCUUUUAGAUUUUCAGAAGAUAUAUAAUCGACAGUAGCAUCUGCAGAAGCUGGCAGUGGAACCUUAUUUUCAUCAUUUACAAACUCGGCCUGUUUUUGCAUCUGAAGGGAAGCUUUUGCUUGCUUUUUGGGUCUUUCCGGUGUUAUUGGAAGAGCAUUAUCAAUGGGUCUCAAUGCCAUUUUUAAAUUUUUCUGUAGGGUGGGGAGGUUGCGGACAGACUGAGAAUUGAUUUGAAGAAUUUGAUAUGCUAAAAGGCGUUAUUUACUUAUUUAUUGGUAGGUCUGCAAGGCAAAUAGUCGAGGUAUUGUUUUGCCUCUUUUAAAAAUUUAAAUUUUGAACAAAAGUUCAAAAGAGACGUUACACUUUGCAACGGUCGCCAUUUUUUUCUUUUCAGAGGAAUAUCCAAAGCUGGUAAAUCUAACAACAAAAUUAAAAAGUCGGUAAUGUUUGAAUUAUUUUUAUAUCUGAUUCAUGUUCAACCGCAGUCUUCUUCAUGGUUUUGCCUAUUGAAACGGUGCGAAUGAAGUGUUUAGAAGUAAUUUUCAAAUUAAAAAUAAAUUGUUUCCCUGCAUUUUUUAAGUUCUUUUUUCUUAAUUAAUAUGAAAAGAAAAGGGAUUUGAUUUAAUUUUUAUACCUGUAUAGAAACCAAUGCUUAUAGAUUUUGAUUUCACCAUGAAACAAAUAUAAUAAUAAGAGAAUAUACUUAAAAAUAGUAUCAUUUUUAUUUUUAAAAAAUACUUUCGCGGGAAAAAUGAACAAAUAAUCUACAUAUUUAAAUUUAUCAAUUAUAAUUUUUUUUUUGAAUGUAAUGUCAAUUAUAAUUUUAAAAACUUAAUCAUAUGAGUCAUAUAUCACUAAAUAUUGAAAUUUCAUUGUAAAUUAUUCUUUUUUAUUUUAUAGUUUUUAAUAUUUAAAAUUUAAUCAUUGCAUUAUUAUGAAAUUUUUAUUUAAGUUUGAAAAUUUAAUGUUUAUAAUCUAUAUUUAUCUAUAUUUUUAUAUUUAUACCUAAAUAUUAUUGUCACUACAUCUAUAUUAUAUAUAUAUUUAUAAAUAUAUCAUAUUCUUUAUCUAUUUAUAUCUCAACUAUCUCUUUGCUUAAUAUUUCAUUUCUUUAUUUUUUUUAAAUGGUUCUUUUUUUCUAUAUUUUAAUUGGACCACUUAAUAUUUUUUAAUUUAAAUAUUAAUACUUAUUUAUGAUAAUUAUGACUUUGAAAAUCUAACUACAUUUAUUUCCUAGAGAAACUUUUAGUCAACCGAAAUAGUUCAACAUUUUUAGAAAAAUGGUUUUCUAUAGAAAUGCUGAAUCACGUUUAUAGAACAUCUUAUUUAUAUAUCUAUAUCUGUAUAUUUAUCUAUCUAUAUCUAUUUUUAUUAUAUAUAAAAAUGGAAAUAAGGGAGAAUAAUGGUAUUGUCAUGCUGUCAUUGUGAAAUUUAGGCUUACUACGGGAUUCGGGGGCCUUAGGCCCACCCAGGUCUUAGUGCAGGUCCGGUCCAUGGAAAUGGGUCGUAACAUUAAGAUAUCCUAAAAUAACUUUAGUCUUAGCUAAUUAAAAAAUUUUAACCUAAAAAUAUAUAUAAUAUUUCUAUAAUUUGAUGGAUGUUUUUUUUUUGACUUUUUUUAAUAGAUAAAUAUAUAUAGAUAAUUAAGCAUUUCAAAAUUUUAAAUUUUUACUAUUAUUAUCUUGUUAUGUCUAAUUAUAUUUUAUUACAUUAUAUUACUAUGUAAAUUAUUAAUAAUAAUUUAUUAUUUCUAUAAUUCAGCUUCAACAUUUUUAUUUUAAAUAAUAUAUGUAAAUAUGAGACAUUUGAAAUUUUACAUUUUUUUUAGUUUAUUUUAAAUAAAUAUAUCUAGAUAUUCAAAUUUUGAUUUAAAAAAGUAUGAUUAAAAUUUUUUAAUUACAAAUUAACUCUAAUUUGGUUGGCCAAAAAUUAAGAUAAAAAAUCAUUAUUUUUAAACAUCUCAAAUUUUAUUAAUUAUAUUGAUGUCAUAUAUAAUUCAAAUCCUAUUUCUAUUAAAAAAUAUAUAAUUUUAUUAAUAAUUUUUUAAAUGCUUUCAUGAUUUUAAUAGGCUCUAAAUAAAAAUAAAAAUGAAAAUUUAUUAUUAUUUAUUAAUAUUUAAUUUGAUAUAUUAGAUUGGUUUUUAUUCUAUUAUUAAAAUAUAUUUAUUUACUACAAAAUAUUACAGUGAAAGUUAUUAACAAAACAUGUAAAUUAAUUAUAUAAUGAUUUUCAUAAAUCAAUUUGAUUUUUAUUUUUAAAAAAAUAAGAGCAAUUAACGUAUAAUAAAAACUGUACGAAUCAAUACGUAGACAUAUAACCAAAAAAAAAAAAUAUUUAUGAUAUCUAUAAAGUGUAAUGCAUUUUAACCACUCAAUCUAAAUAAGAAUUUAUACUUUAAUAGUAUAUAAAUAAAAAAUCAAACGAACACGAAGAAUGAGCAUAUAAAAAGCAUAGUCAGCAUAGUCAACCUGUCAUAAAAAAGGCUAGUAAUAAUAUAGAAACGGUGGCAAAAAAUAAAGGCUCAAUUGCAAAUAAUAUAAUUAGAGGAAGAUACUUAAUAAUGUAUAUAUCACAUGUAAAAUUAUGGAUAGCGGAUUGUCUUAUAAAAUAAUUGAUAAUGUAUAUAUCACAUGUAAAAUUAUCAUGUAAAAUUGGGGGCAUGUCCAGUGAAAUAAUGUACAUCAAACCUUAAAUCCUCAGUUAUUCUACAAUCAUUUUCCUGUUGCUCCAAAUCCUCCAUAUCCUUGGCUGCUUCAUAUUGAGCACCUAUGGGAAGGGCAAUUGACUCCAACAAAAUGGAAUCAGAAAGCCAGAGAACUGAUCGAACUUGCCAAAGCAUCCUUUGUACCAUGCCCGUAUGAGAAAUAGUAAUGUCAAAAACCAGUAUCCCGUACCAUUUGCAUGAGCAUGAUAGCAGGUGCAAUUCCACAAGCAAGCGAAAAAGAAAAUGAAAAAACAAAAUUCAUGAUCACAUUGCAAGCAUCCUUUGUCAGGAGUAAACAAGAAGAUCCAAACUCCACAUGCACCCAGAUGGGGAGUAAGAUCCUUGUACUCGCCUGGCACUAAUUUUCUGGAGGUAAAUUGGUAAGUUUGACUUACAAGCUUAUACCAGCUAGGAUGUCAUUUGUAGGUAUGUGACCGCUGAAUUUAACUUGCAGAGAUGCUUGCAAAGAGGAAGCUUCAAUUCAUAACCUGGAGGAUUUUUUUAAAAUAAGUCAUGAAUUCAAGCAUAUAUUAAGUAAUAACAUAUAUAAUCUAUUUUCUAAAAAAUUAUUUAUAGGUUGAACACAUCAAUCUAUUUGGUCAAAUCAUAGCUCGAGGUUCAACACCUAGGUUGUUUAAUUAGUUUUUACAAGAGUAUUCAUCAUGCUAUCCAUCAAAAUGCGAUAUCAACAGUACAUUAACAGGACCAGAUACCCAUGAAAAGGAAAAAGAAACACAUUUUACAGUCCUAACAGCCGUGUUUGCAAACCAAAUAUUCAUCAAUUAGUCAGGACUAAAGAGAAAAUGGCUCAGAUGAACCACAAGCAAAUGAUAAAUAUUGAAAGCAAUUUUUUGAUAACUGUAUAAUCAAUAAGAUAAGAACAUACCUUUGCAGAGAGCAACUAUAGCCCCACUGAGGAAACGGAUAUGUAAAUGAUAAAGUGAGAAACAGAUUAUGAUAUCAAAUGCCUUAGCAUCGGAUAAAAUCAUGAUGAUGUUACCAAGAUCUUGCAGCAUGUUGAGAAUUUGCUAUUUCCCUUAAUACAGCCCCCACAAUUGCUGCCUGUUCAAGACAACCAGCUGUAUGCAGUGCAUCCCCCAGAGCAAUACAAGUUUUGGUAUGUAUAUUAAAACCUUUCAUCCGAGUUUCCUCGAAAAGCUUAUAUGCCUCCAUUGCUCUGUUUGCAUAACUCAAUCCUUCUAUUAUAGCAUUAUAGCAUGCAGAAUCAGGCACACCCCCAUUUGCCUUAAACCUUUCAAAAAGUGAAUUAGCAUCUGAAACGUUUCCAGCCUUUGCAAGUCCAGCAAUCAUAGUAGUGUAAGUAAUGGUAUUGGGUUUUAACCCUUGCUUUUGCAUCUCUUGCCAAAACACAAAGGCCUUGUUAAAUUUUCUAAUCCUGCAGAGACCAUUUAUGAGAAUGCUAUAAGUUAUAUGAUUGGGAGUGCAUUUCAAGUUUUUCAUGGAUUGAUAGCAGACAAGGGCUUCAUUAGUUUCCUCUGCUUUCACCAAUGCAUCAAGCAAGCAAUUCCAUGUGUAGACAUUGGGUGUUAAACCUCUUUGCAUCAACUCUUCCAUGAUUAGGUAUGCCUCAUCAAUUCUACCCACUUUUCCAAACCCAUCAAUGAGACUGCUAUAGAUAACAACGUUUAACUCUAUGCCAUUAGACUUGGCUUCUUCAAAGAGCAUGUAUGCUUCAUCAAGCCUAUCAAUUUUGGCAAGCCCAUCAAUCACAGAACCAUAGGUGACUACAGUUGGUUGGUGGCCCUUUGUUUUCAUUUCCUCCAGCAGCUGAUAAGCUUUAUUCACCUUACCUGACUUGCAGAACCCAUCAAUAACAGUGUUGUAAGCACGGGUGUCCAGAAUACAACCCUGGUCUUUCAUUGCAUAGAACAACUCAUAAGUUUCACGUGCAAAACCAGCCUUCACUAGGCCAUGAAUUAGGAUAGAAUAACUUCGAACAUCUGGAAUGAAUCCUCGAGCUUUUAUUUCCUCAAACAAAGCCCUUCCUUUCUCAGUUUCACCAGCUUUGAAAACACAAUCCAUGUAGGUAUUAAGAAGCAUGAGAUCAGGAGAACAACCUCCACGGAGCAUUUCCUUGUAUAUCUUGUGACCAUCCUCCUGCCGGCCACACCUGAAGAAGUUUCUAAUGAGGGAUGUAUACACAAUUGGACUUGGGAUUCUAUCAGAAUCCAACAUCUGUUCAUAAAGCCUGUAGGCAUCAUCUAACCUACCUUGUUUGCCCAAACCAUCUAUAAGCGAACAGAAAGUAACCUCAUUUGGUGUGCAAACAUUAUGAUCCAUUCCUUCAAAUAUAGAACAGGCCUCAUCAAGUUUGUUAGCUUUACAUAGUCUGUCAAUCAUUAUGUUUACAGUCAUGACAUUAGGAAAUAAACCAGCUUUUCCCAUUGCAUCACGAACCUUGAAAGCAUCCUCAACUUGUCCUGCUUUGCAUAGCAUGUCUAUUAGAAGAUUAUAUGUUACAUAAUUGGGAACCGCAUCUUUCUUCAUCUCCUCAAAGAUUCUUGAUGCCUCCUCUAAUCUUCCCAUCCUCCCAAGGGAUGUCAGUAUGCAAUUGUAUGCAAUCACACUUGGAAUGCACCCCUUUGCCUUUUGUCUCUCAAGUAAACCAUAUGCCUCAUCAAACUUCCCAGCUGAUCCAUAACCCAUAAUCAAUGUGUUGUAAGCAUACGCACAAGGAACUUUUCUGUUUUCUUCCAUCUGCUCAAAUAUUUCCACAGCUUCAUCCAGUCGGUUUGCUUUGCAAAGAACACCUAUCAUGCUGGUAUAAGUAACGUCAUCAGGCAACAAACCAUUUGCUUUCAUCUCAUGAAAGAAUUUCCAGGCCAUAUCCACUUUACCCACCUUACCAAAGCAAUCUAUACAGACAUUAUAUAGAACAAUGUCAGCAUCAAAACAAUUGCUUCUCAUCUCAUCCAACAAGGAGAGAGCAGCAUCAAGACGACCCUCCUUGGCAAAUACACGAAUCACAGUUGUAAACAAAUGUAUACUUAAUUCAUAACCUAGUUCCUGCAUUUGAUGAAAAAGAGUAAGCAUAAGGUCAGACUCAUGAGCUCCAGCUAAAGCACCAAUCAAAGUCGUAUAAGCUGAAAAUGCAGGGCGAAAUUUGAAUUUCCUCAUGCAUUGAAGAAGAUCGAAAGCUUCUCUGAGCUUCUGCGACUUGACACAGCUCAAAAUUAACUCAAUGCACGUGUUAGUCGAUGGGCCAAAUCCAGCGAUACUCAUUUCUCCUAGAAUUUGUUCGAAAUAUUCAAACUUUCUCGUUUUAGCCAUUACCAUUAUAAGUGAAUUGUAUGCCUCUGGACAUAGUGCCUGGUCAGUUUUUUUCUCAGCCCAUCGAAAAUAAUUUACUGCUUGAUUAACAUCCUUCAGCCUCCUUAAGACUCGAAUAACACAUUCUGGUUUAGGACUUUCAUCAAGCAUGGACAAAGCAUUCUCAACAUCGGGUCCCCAAGUACCACCUUCCAAAAUACGGCAUACACCAUCCACUUCUUUCUUUACGCUGUCAAUACUUCUCCAGUUUUCUUGACUAUUCCUAUCCAUAAACGAAGAGAAUUUCCCACCCAAUUCAGAAGAAGAAGGGCCAUUAGAUAAAGAAACCAAAUUCCUCGAAUUGGUAAAUAUGUACAAGCACUUCGAAUCACACCUCAAUAUUGCUCCUGAAAGAGAAAUUUAAGUUGAUACAGUUAGAAUUUUGAGCUCAUCAGAAAAUGGAACAAGAAGCAGCAGCGCCCGGUUUACCUGGAUUCCUCAAGAUCAUCUUCAUAUAUGCAUCUCUGUCCAGCAGCUAUGCCUUUUAUCUUCCAGAUCUGUCCUGAGUUUUAGGGUUUAGGGUUUAAGAGUAUGCAUGUGAGUUGAACACGAGAGAGUAAACCAGAGACGAAGAAGACGACGGGAAUCCAAAACCGUACCGUGCAAUAUCACAAAUUAUUCACUUAUUGAUCGUCAACUAAAAAUUGAUGCCUCGCUUUCUUAAAAAUAUUACAAUAUAUAAAAAAUGAAAAAGUUCACUUAAUUUAUACCCUGUUAAAACGCGCCGUUUCUUCCAAUUUUAUAGUCUUGAAAACGCUGCGUUUUUAUCUGCGACUUUUGUGUGUCUAAUGUCCCGUACAAAUCAGAGUCUGCCUGAUGAUGGAUUAAUUUUAACGGCAUUUCCAAAUACACACUCAUAAAAGCUUUUUUCUGCUUUACAAUGGCUUCUCCUCUACUUUGAUCGCAACUCUCUUUACUCAGAACAGCAAAAGAACCUCAAAUUCUAACAAUGGAAGGUCAAUAUGCACAGCAACCUCGCACUUAUGGACCGCACCAGAUGAAAAUGACGAUUCAGCCCUCGCAGCACUCUGACAAUGACCGGAGCAGUAGCGAGCUCCGUGCACUAGAUUGUAAUCUCUCUUCCCUCUGUGACCACAUCCAGAUGGAGGGCUUUAAUUCCGGCUCCUUCUCCGAUGUCGUCGUUCACGCUAUGGGCUCCACCUACCACCUCCAUCGUCUCAUCCUCUCUCGCAGUUCAUAUUUCAGGUUCUAAAUUUAUCUCUUAAUUUGAUCGAUUCAUUGAAGAUAUAAAUUUCAUAGUUACUUGAAUGUGGAUUGUGCCUGUGGAAUAAUUUCAUUUUAUUAAGUUACUAAUUAGUGAGAGAGACUCUGUCGUUUUAAUAAUGUGUUUGUUAGGAACAUGCUACAUGGUCCUUGGAAAGAAGCUAGUUCUCCUGUUGUGAACUUGCAUGUGGAUGAUAAGAAUGUUAAUGGGGAGGCAAUAACUAUGGCUUUGGCUUAUCUUUAUGGGCAUCACCCCAAGUUUAAUGAUAACAACGCGUUUCGUGUCUUGGCUGCUGCUUCCUUUCUUGACCUUCAGGUAUCACAUUACUGGUUCCCAGAUUCUUGAGUCUGAUUCUUAAGUAUCAUUCUUUAUGUUUUGAUUGCAAUGCAGGAUUUGUGUGCUAUAUGCACAGACUUCAUUAUAUCUGAACUGUGGACUUCUAACUUCUUGGCAUAUCAGGUUAAGUUGGAUUUUUGCUACUUCUUUAUGCACCAGUAUAUGGUGCUUCCAUAGUUUCAGAUACUGAGGAAUCUUUUUGCAAGUCAGGUAUUUGCAGAGAGCCAAGAUUAUGGUUUACAUGGAGAGCGUGUAAGAAAUGCUUGCUGGGGCUACCUUUGUCAGAGUGGUGCCAUGGAAUUGAAAGAGGUAAAAGUCGAAGUAAUUAAUAUUUAAUUACAUGUAUGCAUUGUGGGUUUCAGCGGUUAUUGCCCUUUUUAUCUUUGAAGAUUACUUCCUCUCUGUUUUAGGGAAGGAAGAUAUAAUUUAUGGCAAUGCAAUAUAAAAUAUAAAUAGAAUCAGACAAAGUUCAUAACUCCUGAAUUUAUCAACAAUGCAAGUAUAAUAGAUUAUGGUUCACACCAGAAGCAUUGAGAUUUCCAUUCAUUGUUUGUUAGAAUCAACAUCAUCAAAUGCCACAGGGAUUACUGAUUAGAUAUACUCAGUAAUACCUUUGUGAAUCUUCUUAUGAAACCACUAUGAUUUCAUGCUGCUGUGAAAAUUCAUAAGUGUUGCAGUAUUGAGUAUUAAUGUUCAAAUCAUAGAGAACCUACAAAAAUAAGAGAAGUCAUUAUAAAUGAUUCAUCAUUCUCAGAAACUUUGUUGAUUAUGAUUUUAAGUUUUGAGGAACACAUUUUGUCUUUUUUUUUUCCCCUCUGUUAAAACAUGUCUUCUCAGAAUUUUAGAAUUUGUGAAAAUGUUAUAGUGAAUGUUCUUUUUUGUUGCAUGAUUUAUUAACAUUUCAAUCUAGUGUACUUCUCAGUGGAUUGUACUAAAAUUUCAACUUAGCUUGCUUAAUUUUUGUCCAUUUUGUGGAAAUUUCCAGUUUAUGAUGCAACUACAAUCUUUUAACACAACUGCAGUUCGAUCCUGUUUUUAAACUGUGUUAUUUUUCAAAGAUUUCAAUUUAUUCAUGUGAUCAUCUUUUGACAUUUGGUCAACCAUCUUUUUGAAUUAUUUAUCCUUUCAUUUUGAUAGGUGCUUCCCAAGCUUUCUUCUCAAACUCUGCAUGCAUUACUGACCUCAGAUGAAUUAUGGGUACCUAGUGAAGAGAAACGGUAAGAGGUGUAGGUUGGGUUGCUGCAGAAUUGGGUUUACUGGACACUGGUUGAAGUCUUGAUUAGGUUGGAUAAUCCAUGUUUUCUUUUCUGUUAAAAGGUUUGAAUUGGCACUAUACACACUUCUUGCAAAAGGUGCUCUUUGCAAGACAGAACAUGCUGAGCAAGGAAAUUCUACUCCAGAGAUGGAUGUGGGUAUUCAUUCUGACUCCUCCAAAGCAAAAGGAAAAAAUUUGGUCGAUAAUUGCCCUAGAAAGAGGACAGAAUCAGAGCUAGGACAAUGUUUAAAAGAUGAGCUAAAAGGCCAAAGCAUGAUUCAUGGUCAUAUGGUUGAACUUAUUGAUUCCAUGGAUGACUACCAAGUAGUAGUUUCUGAUUCCAAACAGCCAAAUUUGGACACUGUACAUCCUCAUGGUGUGGAACAAUCUUCAUCAUUGUGUAGCAAGUUCUCAGAAAUGAAUGGAAAUAGAACCUCAUGUUGUUAUGGUGAAAUGCCAAUCGGUGUUGGAGCAAGUGGACUAGGGACCAGUGGGUUGGCCGUGGAGGGGCCAUCUGAAGCAGGCUCAUACAAUUUGAAUAACAACAAUUGGGUUUCAGGUGAUCAAUCUAGGCAUUGCACAUCAAUGGAACAGUCUUGCGAUGGAAUCAUACUCAAUGAUUGGGGAAGAUGCAGUGUGACUCCUCUUUCAUGGGGCGGAAGAGUUGUGGGAAGAAGACAGGUAAAAAGUUAUGCUAAAGGGAAUUUUGUGGUCCAUGGCGAGGACUAUGAUACUUUUGUCAAUAUAUUUGAAGGGGGUUCACUUUUAUAUUGUAACAUGUCUUUUGAGGCACUUUUGAAUGUGAGAAAACAGCUUGAAGAAUUGGGUCUUCCUUGCAAAGCUGUGAAUGAUGGUCUUUGGCUUCAGGUUUGUUAUUGAAAUCUGUUUGCUUCUAAUAUUUUUGUUUCUUCACCAUAUAUUGAAAGUUUACCUGUGUAUAACAAAGAUAUUGAGAAAUGGUCAAUUUUUCUUCUUUUAUCUCACUAAUUGAGUCAUUCGCUUGGUUCUCAGACUGAAUUUCGGAAGUCAUGUGGUCACCUCAUCCCUAACCAUCUGGCCUAUCGCAGUUUCUUUAAAUAGACAAUUUUUGGUUCAAUCUAGAAAAUCAGUACUGGUUGAUAAUACACCUAAAUCUGUCCUUUCUCUCUGUCAAUUGGAAGAUGUAAAAUUUACAUAUUUUCUGUCUUGAUUAAAGCAUUUGUUUUCUCAUGAGCCACUGUCUUUACUUGUGGCUUUUAUUAUUGAUUUUUAAAGUUUUUCAUUUGUUUAUUACAUAGAUGCUUUUAAGUCAAAGGGUGCAAGAAAUUGGUUUAGAUACCUGUAAAGUUUGCUGCUUUGCAAGUAUGGCAUGCACUUGCAGGCAACCAUUUGGCUUUUCACAAGGAGUUACCACAACAGGUUAUUACAUGCAAGAGCAUGAGCACAAUAAUUCUCCUGGUAGCACAGGAAAUAUAUAUGUUGCUGAUUCUGCUCAAGGUGAGGGUAGUGGCCUACUUAGACCAGUACGAGUGCAUGUUAGGGGACCUAUUGAUGGUCUUGCUGGUAUUGGACGUGGAACUACAUUUGUUCCAACUGCUGCAUGGCCUCCUACACGUUUUGUCUUUUCCCGUGUGCCCUUUAAUAUUGGCAACAGAAAUUGCCAGCAAUCUAUUGCUAAUGAAGAUUCAGAGAGUAGAACUGAUCACAAUGGAGAUCUAUCAGUAGACGGGUUGACUGCCGCUUUGGUUGGUUUAAGCCAAGGAGUUAGCAACACCACAAAUGUUCAUGGAGAGCAUACGGAGAGAGGGUAUGAGACUGAACUGCAAGGAAGAUUGUCUGGAAUGUCUAUUUCAGCACCAAGUACAAGUGGUAUUGCCGUCCAGAUGCUUGAUUCACCAGAACACGCUAUUGGAAUUGACUGGGAGAACACAAACAGUUCCUCUAUAUCUUUAGAUAUGAAAACCCCUUUAAGCCAUUUUCCUCCAUUCCGUUUUGGGUAAGUUAUGUAUUUUUUCUAUGGCUAUUUAUGCAUAUUUCUUAGCGUUAGUAAUUUGUUUCUGGAAAGACACCAUGUUGGGAAGCUUCUGCCAACUGUCUGGAGAUGUACUGAAUCCUUUUGGCCACUACCACCUGGAUUUUUCAAAUGAACUAUACAACUGGAGGUAGAUCUCCUCUUUCCAAUAAAUUCCCUGUCCCACCUAGAAUUUGAACCGAAGACCCUCUGGUGAAAUUUGAAGUCUUGAUAGGGACCCACCCCAAGGAAUUGAACAUCAUUCUUUAUUGCUCAUUUCUUUUUCUUGAAUUGCCAGUUCAUUUUAUUGUAUUAGUUGUGUACACAAAAAAAAAAAAAAUAAAUAAAUCUUGUUGGCAACCAUUUCUCUCAAUUCCCUUUGAAAAUGAAUGUUGUAAAAUGAAAGACAUUGAAAAUGAAGUCCUUUGACCUGACAUAUGGCAUAUCAGAAAGUCUUGCUCAACUUCAUCUGCUAGUCUUAAAGAGGGGUUGUCAUGAUUUUGGCCUAUCCUCAUAGUUUCGAUGACAGUUCCACUUCUGCAACAUCAUUUUCUUUUCUCUCUCUCUCUCUCUCUCUCUCUCUCUCUCUCUCUAUAUAUAUAUAUAUAUAUAUAUAUAUAUUUAAUGAUUGGUUUUCCCUUACUUUUUUGCCAUUUUUUUGUCUGAAUUGGCUAUGGCACGACAGGGUUGAAUUUGAGGAUGUGCACAGGCUCAGUGAUGGCCAAGUCAAGCACUCUCCAGAAUAUUUUUAUGCUGGUUCUUUGUGGAAGGUAUCUGAAAUAUCAAAAACUACAUCCAGCAUGUGGAAGUUUCUAAAUGUCUAUGAGGCUUUGUUUUUUCACUUUUUAUUGUUUUUGUUUUGGGUAAACUUUACACGAUCUGUCUGAUUUUUUAGGUUAGUGUUCAGGCGUUUAACGAUGAAGAUCCUCAAGGACGCAGGACCCUUGGUAAUAUUUUAUUGACUAUAAACUAUUACUUUUGGCUACAUGCUACUCUAUGUUUAUCAGGGUGAAAAAAUAAAUUAUUUUCCAUUAAUCCAAUCGUAUAAACGUCUUGAAACUUUUCAGGAUUGUUUCUUCACCGACGCAAGGCAGAGAUUACUGACUCGCUUAGAAAGGUUAGUAUUACCCAUAGCAAAUCAAAGUCUUAGGUGGUCUGUUCGAUCAAUUAUGGAAAUAUAUUCUUUCUUAUUCUUUUUGCAGUUCUUUCAGCUUCAAUUUUUUUAUGACAUCUUUCAUGUUUUGUACUUUUCUUUGUCAUUGUCGUAUCCCCUUAGGAAACUGCCUGAGUAUUUUAACUUUUUACUUAUAAUUAAAGUUUUCAAUUGGCACUCAAGACGAACACUACUUGUUUUCAGGUCCAUAUGUAUGUGGACUCUCGUGAAAAGGUCACUGCUCGUUAUCAGGUGAACUUACAACUGAACAAACUGUUGUCAACAUAAUUAUAUGCAUAUUGGUAAUGCAAUAAUAUGCGGUAAUAACGAGGGAUUUGCAAUGCUUUCAUUUUUCAGCUCAUAUGCCCAUCAAAGAGAGAAGUUAUGGUGUUUGGAAGCUUUAAACAGCGGGGAACUCUUUUACCGAAAGCUCCUAAGGGAUGGGGCUGGCGUACUGCUUUGCUAUUUGAUGAGCUUGCGGAACUUCUCCAAAAUGGGACUUUGCGAGUGGCUGCUGUAGUGCAGCUUGUGUAAAUUUUAAAAGGUAUACCCAAGUUCUCUGCAGGGAAAAGUGGCACCUGAGUUCUUAGCAGCUAUAAGAAGGUUGAUUCUCUAAAGCAAGUUCAAAUUGGUCUCCAGUGCUGUUUCAGAUGUAAACCAUGGAGUACCCUUGCAUUCAUUGCUUCCUAUUCCUAAAAAUUUUAUUGAUAUAUUCUGAGUCGCAUCAUGCAAUGCCAUUUUUAAUUAUAGAAGAUGCUCUGCUACCAGGGAUCAAGCUGAACUGAACUGAAUGGUUGAGCUCUGGUGGUUGGAUUUUCAAGAGAGGAGGCCUUACUGACAUUUUUAGUUUCCAUCGUGUGUAUUUAUUAUAGAAACAAAAUAUAUGUGAAUAGAUUAUGUUCUGCAUAUAUCAAAGCCAUCACUGGUUCUGCAAGCUUACAUAGUGUUGGACUGUGUAUUGUCUCUGUUUUAUGAAAAUGUUCACAGUUUAUGACAAUGUGUAGACGGAGCUCAACACAAACGCGAAAUUCACUCACUGUUUGCAGAAAUUGGAACCGUCGAGUGUCGCCUUAAGUUUGAAACCAUUGCUGUAAUAUAAAUAGAGAAAAUUAUGAUUUUGUUCUUAUAUUUUUUGAAAUAUAUCAUUUCGUAUUUAUUUUUUCCUUCUGUUACACUAUCCUUAUGCUAAUACCUUUAUACGGUCAAAAUCAACUAUUUUAUAUAUACUUAUCAAAAUUAAUUAAGGUCUUUAUAUUUAACUGAAAAAGUACAAAAAGAUAAAAUAGUGCAAUAAAGAUAAAAGAUAGAGAGGAAAACAAUGAAUGUUUUAAAAUAUAAGGGCUUCUUGUAUAUUAUAGCAAAAUAAAAUAAUAAAUUCGUGAUUUUCUCUAUAAAAUAUGACAAGAAACAAUUUUUAGAUAAAAUUAUCUUCUUCUAAUCCAAAAAAAAUUUGUAGCCACGUCAUGCUGAUUGGAUAUCGUAUGUUACAUUAAUUAAUUAAUUUAACCGAAAAAAGUGAUUGUCUUUUGUCGUUUAUUUUUGGAUGCGUAGCCUCUCCGAGAACGAUAUUUGUGUCUACCUGGAAAGGUAAGUUGCCAGUGAUUUUGUUGAGAGGUUGUCGUUACAUUGAUCAAGGGAAAAGUGCCUGCCUCCAAUUAUUUCUAAAGAUUCGCCUUCCGCCUGUUCUGACAAAACGACACGUCGUCUUCAGUUGGGUCGUUCACUCGGAUAGGCUGGAAAGUUGCCAAAAACUCGUAAACGUCUUGCUUCGACGACUGUCGUCUAAAAUCAUUUAAGAACAGUAUAAAUGUGUGGUUGUUUGGCCUUUUUCAUUUGACGCGUCUCUCCCUCCCAAUCUUCAAUCAUCUCUCAACCAGUAAAGGAAAAAGCAAAAAAAAAAAAAAAAAGAAAAAGAAAAAAAAAAAAAAAGAAAAAGAAAAAAAAAAAAAAAAAGAAAAAGAAAUGCAAUCUCUGAAAUGCAGAAAAUCUCAAUUGAAACCAAAACCCUAAUCUCUAGUCUUUCUCAAUCUGUCCCAAAGGCCGAGGCUGGGCCGAUGAAUGAUGAUUUCCUCUACACAUAUCAAGUAGAAAGAUUUAAAUCGGUGAGUUAUGCUGCCUUCUAAUGCGCUUCCCGGGAAUGCUGUGCAAAUUUAAUUUCUCUUUGAUUUGUACAUGAAUUGCAAUAGUGAUUAUUAUUGGGUAGAGAUAGAGUUAGUUUCUCUCUCACUUGAGCAAUGAAGAAUUUUUGGCUCAUUUUUACUGGUAUCCGUGAAGUUUUGACAUGCUAAUUUCCGCCUGCUUUUGGUAUUACGAUGCUCACGAGCCAAUUGUUUAUGUCCUGCUCAUGGUUUGAUCACUAUCAUUUGCUUCUGGGUUGUCUAUCAUUGUGCUGGAAAUGGAUGUUUGAUUUGUGAUGGUAGAAAAUUUAUUUUCAUUGCAGAUGGGAAAGAACAAGCAAGGUCAGGAAAAUGAAAAUAGAGCUACUAAGGCUGUAUGGAAUAAGGAGAUGGUGCAUAUAUUUUGUGAUAUUUGUAUUCGAGCCUUCCAAAUGGGCAUGCGACCUGGAACUCACUUUACAAAGCAAGGAUGGAAGUAUAUAAUUAAACACUUCCAGAAGGAGAGUGGACAAAAUUUUAGCAAAAAACAAUUGAAAAACAAGUGGGAUGGAAGUAAAAAGGAAUGGAAACUUUGGAAAGCUUUGAUAAGCGAAGAAACUGAAAUUGGUUGGGAUCCAAAGAAACAAACUCUUGAAGCCUCUGAUUCUUGGUGGGAUGAAAAGAUUAAGGUUAGUUUUGAUUCAUGGAUCAUGAUGUUAUGGAUUAUGAUCAUGCAUGUGCAAUCUCUUUUGUAAUUUUGGGAUUCACUUUUUUUCCAUUUUUUUUGUUUUUUAUUUUCUUUAAUAAUGUAGGCUAUGCCAGCAGCUAAAAAGUUCCAAAAUGCGGGUAUUGAACCUGAACUUUGUGCAAAAUAUGAUGUCAUGUUCAUGGAUACAGGGGCUACUGGAAAUUGUGCUUCAACUCAUUCAAUAGUUGUUCUGCAAAAUGAUAAGGAUGGCAAUGAUGAAUCACCUAGUAAUAAUGUUAUGCCAUCGGAAUCAGAUAAGGAUGGCAAUGAAGAGUCACCCAGUAGUAAUGACAUGCAGUUGGAAGGGAGUGGCUAUUCAAGAAGUGAACCUAAUUUUGUUGAUAGUUUGGAGCAAAUUAUGGAUGGUGCAAAUAUGUCAUCAGCAAUGUUGGAUGGUGCUAAUGUUUCAUCCGCUCUACCUACUCAAUGCAUACAAGCCACUUUAGACCAAGAUGCCAUGUUGCUCGAGGGGCAAAGGAAAGAGAGAAAACAGAGAAGGAAUGAUGAGUUUGAUAUACAAGUUGAUAUGACUAAGAAACUCAAACUCGGGAGGAGGCAAUUGGAAGGAUUAGCAAAGUUAUCUCAGCAAAUUAACAGAUUGAUGGCCACCGUCGAAAGUAGUAGUGUAACUUCCAAGAGAACUGAUCUACCAGGAUGUAGCAUACCUGAGGUUUUAGCUGACCUACAUUCUAUGCCAGAGAUUGUGAAAGGCAGUGAACUUCAUUUAUUUGCUACAGACUUGUUUCUAUCCAGGGCAAAGAGAGAGGUUUAUGCUUCCUUAGGGGAGUCGGAUGUCAAAUUAACUUGGCUAAAGUAUCAACAUGCAAAGUCCUCUUGAUAUAUAGCUUGACUGUAGGUUGUCCUGUGCAGAAAUCUUUAUUGUUUCCUUAACUCCUGGCGUGAAAUUUAGAGCUACAUCAUUUUUUAACAUUUUUGGUGUCUUUUGCGUAUAAUUGUUUUUCAGAUAGAAUGAAUUAAUAAUAUAUUUUCUUUGUUUUAUGUCAUUUAUUCCUCUGUGUUUUGCCUUCAUAGAGGCAUACUAUUUAUCAGAUAGCAAAGAUGAUAAAACUUUAUGCUUUUUUGAUACUUCUGGCUCUAUAGCGCUGUUGUUGGAACUUAGAAGAGCAUUCAAGUUCAGUUUUCUCUCGUGGUUUCUCUAGUAGAUAAACCAAAAGAAAAUGGAAUUCUUAUCCAUAGCGCUUUCAACCUGAUGGAACUUGAAAAUGCAUGGGACUUCACUUGAUAUGCCACAUAUAUUUGUACUUCUGACGAAAUCCGAGGUAGGAGUUAUGAAAAGCGGAAAAUGAGCGACUGACAGGACUAAUCUGUCGUUCGCUGGAGGAUAAUAAUCGCACUCGUUGUUCAUUGAUUUCGUUGUUGCUAAAAGCGAUGUCACAUAAAAGAGGCCCAACGACAGUACGUAUUGAAUUCUGUCGUUCGCGCAAUAGAACUAGUCGUUAGAAGUUAAAAGUAGUAUGUGGGAUAGAAAUACAUCUCUUUUAUGUAUUCUAAAGCCAUAAAUAUAAUAACACUAUUAUUAUAUAUCAUCAUACUGCUGUGAAAUAUUGAUACUUUAAUUUUACAAUAUCAUCACAUUGGAUAUUUUUUUAAUAUAUUAAUUAUAUUGAAAUUAUUAAUUAUAUAUGUUAAUGCCAUCCAAAAUUACAAAUUAAUAACAGGUAUCAGGUUAGAUACCACCCAAGGCGUUUGUCUGGUGGGCGGUGAUCCGGUGGUGAAAACCUUAUCAUCCACAUGCUUGAUGAAGGUUCCAUAUGUUUAAAUAUUGACUCUACGGGUUCUUGGGGUUUUGCUGCCAUAGGUUGAGGACGGCAACACCUGACCAAUAAGAACAAAAAAACGAAAGGGUUAGACCGGAAAAGUGUUAUUGAAUCACUUUUGUGCCAGGAACCCAAAAAAAAGUCCCCCCGAACUCAAUUCCCCGAAACUACCCGUCAGACUGCAAUUGUUAUUUAUUUUCCUUUCCUUUUAGUUAGUUUUAGAUCUCCAGUCUUUAUUUUCCUUCUUUGGCUUGUAAUUUCAAAUUUUUUAUUUCACAUUCGUCACUGUUAUUUCAAUUCAGCUUUCUAAUUUCGAUCUUUUACUCUCUCAAAAAUCAAAAUCAUGCCACCUCCUCUGCGUUUCCUACUAUCAUCACCAUUUUUACUUUUCUCUUUUAGCAUGCAAAAACCCUAAUUUUCCGUCUGAAUUGCUUUUGUAGGGUUUCUCUCCCAGCAGAAAUCCCUUAUUAUCAUAAUUGCUUUUAUGAUUAUUACAAAAAAAAUGCUUUAUGUAGAUGGAUUUUGAAUUUUUAAAAUUUUUAGGGUUUUUAAGCUUUGGAUUUCAACAAUGGGUGCCUUAACCAGCAAUAGCAAGCGAGACCCGUAUUCAAAUGCUCCGGACUUUCACAUUUCAAAAAAGCCUAGAUUGUCGUCGUUCAUGCAUCAAGCUCCGAAUCAAACCCUAGGAUCCUCCAACAACACAGUCUCCAGAAUCUCCCGGUAUCCGGAAACGACCUCAAAGUUUCGCCGGGAGGUUCAUGCGCCUUGUAGAAUACUCAAAUUUGGGAUUUCCAGGUCAAAAGAUAUUGAGUACAGUGAAAAAAAUAAAUCCAGUACCGCAGAAAUGGGGAAUUUCUUGAGUAAACAGCUGGAUUUCGCCAAGAGAAGCGCACUUGGUGCUUUUAGAUAUUUGAUUAAAGAGAAGGAAGUCAUUGAUGUUGAUAACGAGCUCGAAAAGUCUGGAAAGGAGGUUGUAUCGGACGAUUCUAGCAUCCAGGAAGUUGAGGCUAUUGAAGAAGAUGGAAGAGAAGAUAGGUCUAUGGUUUUUGACCGGAGGUCGGGUGAGGGAGUUGUAGAUGUUAAGAUUGUGGAGGAGAGAUCCGUGGUCACUGUGGAUGGGAACAUCGGGCUGCAAUAUGCGAGUAAAAUGUUGGAUUCAUUAACAUUGAAUAAUGAGGUAGUUGUAUCCAGUGUUGAGGCGUAUAAGAAGUUGUUGGGGAUGGCCGAGAGGAGAGAUGGGCGAUUGAAAGAAUUGGAUUUCCAAAUUGAGUUGAAUGAAAAGAAGCUCAGUUUUUACCAGUCAAUACGGCCAGUAAAGAAACCGGAAGUGCAGGUAAGGUUUUAUUUUUUAUUUUUUUAUUUUAUUCACUUUUUUGGUGAUGCAUCGAAUUAUGUAUUUAGGCAUGUUCCAUCGCUCCCUCUUUGUACAGGAAGUAUUUUUCUAAUUGUAGGAUUAGAGCCGUAUUCUAGUAAACUUGUUAAGAGCUUUCCAAUUGUUAUUAUACAAGGGAGGAAGAGAUUUGAGAUGUUUUCAAGUAUUAAAAGGGUAUAAAUUGAUUUACAGGAGAUACCUGAUGAACCUUUUAUUCCUCUUACAGAGGAGGAAGAGUAUGAUAUCAAACGUGCAUUGUCAGCCAACAAUAGGUAUGUUUUGAUCAAUAUGAUUUUUCGAGAGUUCAAUGGUUGCUACGAUGUUAUAACAUUAUUAGGUUCAUUUUUCUGCAGGAGGAGGAUACUGGUCACACACAAGAAUUCAAACAUUGAUAUUACUGGAGAAAUUUUGCAGUGCCUUGCCCCAGGUGCAUGGUUGAAUGAUGAGGUGACAUUUUUGGGUUCCUAGUUUUUGUAGUGUACAGUUCUAUUUAUGUAGCAUUUAAAAGGGACUAAUGUGUUUCAGUCAGCUUGUAGUAUGAUUUGUUGAUGCGUUUGAACUUUGUUUUGAAGGUCAUAAAUUUAUACUUUGAGUUGCUCAAAGAAAGAGAAAAGAGAGAGCCAGAGAAGUUUCUGAAAUGCCAUUUCUUCAACACUUUUUUCUACAAAAAGGUUGGUUGAUUAUUCAUUUUUUUUUUGUAAUAUUUUAAAAAUGAUUCUUAUACUCGUGAAAAAAGAACUUUUUGUUUCCUGUCAUAUUAAAAAUAUUUCUCUUGGAAACUUGAGUUCUUGCACAAUCUUCUAUUCUUAGUUGUCAAAUGAAUUUGAGAUGCCCUUAAAUUUGUUCCUUUUCUUCUCCGUUCUCCUACAUAUGUUUCAUUUUUUUCGUUGUUUUAAAUCAAACAGUGCAAAUGACUACUUUUUUUUUCUUGUUGUCAACCUCUAUGAUUUAUAAUAGACACACACACACUCAAACACAUAUAUUUUCUUUUUUCAGAUGAUAUAACACACUAGUCUUGAUUUUUCCGAGCAAGCAAAUUGCAUAAAAGAUUUAGAACUUGAAUUUUUUUAUUUUCCAAAAGUUCUUGUAACACUUGUCAUUUUUGAGCUUGUUGAACCUUUUUCUUCUAACCUAAAUUUAAUUGAAUGUCCAGUUAGCAGGUGGGGAUAAGAAGAUCUAUGAUUAUAAAGCCGUCAGAAGAUGGACUACAGAGAGGAAGUUGGGAUAUUUUCUGAUUGACUGUGAUAAAGUAAGAUGAAGCACCUUCUUUUUAAUUGUUGUAUCAUGAAUUUCCUUUAAUGGAAUUUGGGAGUCAUGCUGACUUGAUUUUGAUAUUGUGCUCAGAUUUUUGUCCCUGUUCAUAGAGAGAUACAUUGGUGUUUAGCAAUUAUAAAUAAAAGGGAUCAAAAGUUCCAAUAUCUUGAUUCUCUCAAAGGAAGGGACCUCAGAGUGCUGGAAAAUCUGGUAUACUUUUUGGUUUUUACUUCUAAUCUCAAAUAGCAGUUAGCAGAUUCGAAUUAUGCCCUCUCACAUUUAUGCAUUUUUAGGAAGUUAGGUCGUGUGAAAAUAUCAGUUAAUGACUAAGAUCUCUCACUUAUAGAAAGGACAUUAGCAAAUCAAAACAUCCUAUGAGAUCUUGUCUGUUUCCAUUUCACAUUUCAGUCUACAAUAGUUUCUCAUAAUUUAAGAGUCAGUGAUCUUUCCAAAUCAAGUAUUUUACUAUCGUAAUUCACAACUUCCAAUGUAUGUGCUAUUCACAAGUUUGAUUGAUUUUCCACCUCCAUAAAAUGCCCAAGAAGUUUGUCAGUGAUAAAUAAGAGUUUGUAUGAAAGGAUUAAUAGUUGUAGAUGUUAUGCCCAUGGAUAUUAAAUGCAAUAAAGUUUUAAAGCUUGUGGGAUUUCUCAAAUCAUUACAGAUUGCCAGGUUAAAAGCACUUCAAUUUACCUUUUCCUGGUAAUGAAUGGCGUUGUAUGUAUCCAUUUUUGUAUGGUGGGAUAUAAUCAUAGAGAGAUUGCAUUGUGCAUUUGUCGUCUUACACUUCUGUGGCCUUACAUCCUGAUUUGUAUCAUUGGGACAUGAAAUUUAUGUAUAAAUAAUAGGGGAAAAAAGAAAGAAAAAAAAGAAACGAAGUGAAUAAACAGCUCAAAGAAAAGAUUUACUCAUCCGCUGCUUCAAAAUUUUUCUAAUGUCGAACAUUGAUGUCUGCCAGGCCAAAUACUAUGUUGAAGAAGUAAAGGACAAGAGUAAAAAAGACAUCGAUGUAAGUAAUUGGGAACGUGAAUUCCUUGAAGACCUUCCUGAACAGCAGAAUGGGUAUGCAUCCUCUUGUUUUGGGACUGUAACAAGAAACGUUAGUCUGUGAUAGGUCUGAGAGUUUCUGUUGGUUGAAGCAUAUUUUGCAAUGAAGGAUAUAAAAGAUAUAUUUUUAUAGAAGUUGAUAAUUAUAAAUGCAGUAUUUUUUUUUUCCAUUGGCUUUUAAGUUGAAUUUUACUGAUUCAAUUUUAUUUUUAUAACAGGUAUGACUGCGGUGUUUUCAUGAUCAAAUAUGCAGAUUUUUAUAGCAGAGGUAUUGGGCUUUGCUUUAACCAGGUGAGAAACGUAUAAGGGGAUUUUCAAUUUCUCAAGCAUGAUAAGCUGGUGAAAUUGCUGGUUCUUUUAUUUUUUUUUACGCAAAAAUAUUUGCAUUAGGUUUGUAAUUUGUAGCAGCACUUGCAUUAAUUGAAGAUAUAAACAUGUAGAACUGAAAGGGCUUAUGUACAUCUGUCUGAGCAUAUACACAAGGAGAAAGAACAUACAAUACGUACUGAUUUAUAAGUAUUGACUACCAUUUCUUUAAUAACCACAUGGUUAACUUUUCUUAUCGCUUUAUCCAUGUUUUUCCUGACAAUAACCCCUAUUCAUGUUAAAGUCAAUGGAUUUAAUGGUAAAUUUGAUGUUCAGUUCUAAUGGAGCAUCCAAUGCCCCUGUUAUAAUGUGAUGUUGUUUCUCUCUUGUUCUGAUGCGUCCGUGUCAUACUUCUGGUCAGAUUGCUGAAAAAGCUUUUGCAUAAUAAACUCCGUAGCUUAAUCAAUAUCAUUUCACAACUGAAUCAAUUUAUCUUGAAACACAGUAGUAAUGUUGAUUUUAACUCAAAUCUCCAUUUCUUUUUCCCAUUUUUAAGGAUCAUAUGCCCUAUUUUCGGAUGAGAACUGCCAAGGAGAUUCUAAGACUGAGAGCUGACUGAUUGGAGGAGUGAUCUGUUAGUAUGAAUUUUGUUUAGCAAUUCUGCAAAGAGCAGAUCUGCCCUAAGAUUGCAAAGUACUUUGUGCUUUUUUGUGAAUGGAGAACCUUUCGACAUUGUUCAACAUCUAUGGUAAAGCAAUUUUGUCUAGUUGGAUUAAUUGAUCAAAGAUUGUUCCCGCAAUUGUGCGACUGGUACAGAAUUCAUAGCAAAAAAAAAAAAAAAAUGCAGGAACUGUGGCUGGCACAAUACUGAUGCACGCUGGGUUUUGAAUAUAUUUUCCCUUUUUUUUUUUUUUUUGGGUUGAGUUUUUGUUUGUAAUUUAGCACAUAAAAAACAAGUGAUUUUCUUACCUAUUUUUUAAAUCUUGACUACUUCCACCAUUUUAAUUCGUGGGCAUCUGAUAUGAGCUGUAGCCUGAUUGCUUGGCGAAUGGAAUAGUAAUCAAACAUGGCAGUUUAAUUGUUUCUACUUUCAAAUGGAUUCCAUACAAAUGUUCAUGCUAAUUUUUUGUUUAGCCCCUCAGAAAGUAAAAUUGUUAAAUGAGCUGAUCAUUUGGAUAGCUAAUAUGAUUCAAUGAUUCUUAUAAAUUCUUCAGUAAAAAAUGGAGGAAAAAGAAUAAUGCCGUGCAUUUAAAUAAAGGCAACCCCAACAAUUGGAGAUUUUAAUGCACAGGAACAUUGAAGUAAAAAUAAUUUCACAAUACGAUUUACAUAACAUAUAUUUCACAUUGUUAUUCUUUUUUUUUUUUUUUUUUUUUUUUUUUUUUUUUUUUUUUUUUUUUUUUUUUUUUUUUUUUUUUUUUUUUUUUUUUUUUUUCACUUUCUUAGAGAAUUGUUUGACUGAAUGAUACAUCUAACAAGCCAAGCCCUUCACCAGUAAUGAGAUGUGAAUGCUCACCGCCACUCCUAAAACCAAUAAAGCCUGAAUGUGAACAGCAACAUUAGCCCUUAAUACAAUCGGUAUGCAGUAGUACAUCAGAAUCUUCGUUAAACCUAAAACCUCCUCCCUGCCUUGUGACUGCGAGAAUGAAAAACAAACUCUGUGUUAAGUAUGUGUAUAUAUAUACAGGCUUGUAUACAAUUGAAAUUAAAUACCCAUUUGAAGGGGCCAUUACAUCAAAUCAACAAAUGCAAAAUCAUAUUGAAACUGAACUACAAGAGAGGAGAAAUUACAGGACAGGACAAGAUCGGAUCAAUGAAGCACACAAACAAAGCACUGUAUUAACGAGGAACUCUCUUCCGACUAAGUAUCUCUUGUUCUUUUAGUCGAUGUUGGAACCUAGCAAGGCGAGCUUGAAGACUAACCAGACCAGCUGCCUUCCGUGAGAGCACAAAGCUCAACUGGGUCACGUAGUUAUCUAUUAGACUGCCUGGUUGGUCAACUUCUGCCAGCAGUUUCAUUUCCUGAUACCCAAAAAACACAAAUGAUCAGCUGAUGGGUGCCAUAUUUCUUCUUCCAAACUAUGAAAAACAUCAUGAAACUCCAAAAGACAAGCAUUAUAUCCGCAGACCCUAAGGUAAUAAUGUGACUCAAACAUUAGAAUUAAACCAUUAAACCAUAAAGAAGUUGGAUCUUCACUUACCUCGCGAACAAUCUCCAUUGUGUCCUCUAUUUCUUUUCUAUGAGCUGCAAUUAAGGCCUCUUCUUCCUAGGAACAAUCAGUAAAGAUCAAAAUAAGACAUAACAAGCAUCCAAAUACAGUUAAACAAGUGUGCAUAUGCAAUGAAGAAUAUCAUGUAUUAUCACCAACCUCAAGUAUUGCAUUGAUAUUCCCAUCUGAAGGAGGAUCAGGCUCAUGUUGUCGCGAUCCAGUAUUAUUCGCAGUAUAGUUUCCUGUACUCAGCAGCCUUGGGUUGGAAAUGUCUGAUCCACUACUAUCCUUUUUCAACCAGUCACCGAACUUUUCUGAUUUUUCCUCCCUAGAUACUUUUCUACGAGGCGGUGAUACCUUUUGCAUCUUCUCUUCUGCAUCCACCGAGUUUUGGGAGUGUGAUGAAUUAACUUUUUGACUUGUUGAACCACCAUAAGAAUUGCUAAUUUCAAACCUCUCCCUAUCUGUUGAACCAGAAGACCCAUUUUCUUCACGUCCAUUCAAGGAAUAACUUGAAGUAAAACUAGGGGGCGGUUUGUCAUAAUCAGGAGUGGGUAUGUAAGAAAUAGCUUCUUUUUCUACAGCCCUCCUAACUGUAUCAACUGCUUUUGCCUCUUGUUGUUCAUAAACAUCAUCUACCUCAGAAUAAACAGGCAAUGAUGAUGCUGAUGACACAUCCUUCGUAGUUGGGGGUAUUGAAUUCAAAGUCUGAUCCUUUUUUGAAUUUCCACUUUUUGAAAGACUUUUAACCCUGUGCAUUUAAAUAAAAAACACGUUUUAAUAAAUAAGUGUAAUGAAACAGCCAACAGAGGUGACGCAUAUAGCUGAUGCUGAGAACAAAAACAUAUAUACCUGUCUGCAUAUCUCAAAGUAUUGAGUGUAUGUUCACAGGAGCCUGCAUUUGGAGAAAUGCAAGAGAUCAUAACAGUCCUAGAGUUGCCAACAAAGGAGUCACGUAGUACUUCUGUGAGUUUGCUCCCACGAAACGGUAUAUGAAUCUGGUCAUUGUCCAGAGCACGAAUGCAUUCCUUAAGUGCCAAAAGGCUCUUAUUAAUCUCUGCACCCUCAAUCCUGGAAUGGACAAAAUGGUAGCAUCAGGAAUUGCGAAACCAUGCAGGUAACAGAAAGGUUAUCCUUGAAGAAAGUGAAAAAGGCCCAUACUAAGGAAGGUUGUCCUACACACUAGCAUGCAAAGCAAAGGUCUCGAUCUUUCUCAAUGGCAAAGUAGAUCAGAUAUGUUCAAAAUAUAAUCUUAUGAACAUAUUACUAAGAGUUACAGGUAUACGUAACUAGUGUAAGAAAUAGAAAUACUGUGGUUACUUCAAAACCAAAAUAGAAUAUGUCAACGCAAAGGAGCUACCUUGUUUGUCGGUCAUUGUCAGUGGUGUCUGCACCCCGUUCACUACCAGCAAGAUCAAUAAAAGAAAUUUUCCCAACCACCUUUCCACUUUUAGACUCGUUCCCAUCAUUAUUCCUCCUGGAAUCUUUUACCUCACUGUGCUUCUUAAUAGCAAGCUGCAAGAUAGCAUGUGACCUUGAAGAUUCCUCAUUGGCACCAGUAGACCCUGUACUUCUUGUUGCAUUUCCCCUCUCGAUAUAUUCCUUAACAAUCUGUACAUCAGAAACUUCAAAUUCUUGCAGUCCUACAAUGCAAACUUGUUGUCGCCCAUCUUCUCUCAUACAAAGUUUUCUAUUUCAUAAUAGAUCAAAUCAGUUUUGUAUGCAUAAUUGAUCAGUCACUUAACCAUAUUCAUAUAUUUUCUGCAGACAUUUCUGAAUCAUUUAACCAAUUAACAAAUCAAACCAAUUCCAAGAAAAGUAAGUUAAUAAAAAGAAAGACCAACAAGAAAUACUUACUUUCUAUCAUUAAGAAGAUCAAAGAGCUUUCCACCAUAUAUUUCAAAAUAGCUAAGCCACAGUUUGAAUCUCUGAUUACGAUAAACAGGUUGAUGCAACAAUCUAACAAGGUCUUCAGCAGCUCUAAGAGGCAAUGGUUGCAUAGUGAAUGUCUUACCACUACCUGAAAAUACAACCAUUAUAAGUAUUUUGGAUACCAUAAAAAAAAUUUAGACCAUGCUUGGCUUCAGGAACAGGCACCAGCCAGUGUAAACAGAAGCACAAUACAAUCAUCUGUACAUCCCCACACCCCUCUACACCCUCUCCCCUUCUCUCUGUAUUUGCCCUACUUCAUUCUGAAAAGAAAGGAGAAGAGAAUAGGCAGAGUAAACUACAACCACCUUCACUGUUCUUCCAUCUCCUAUCAAGAAUUAAAAUGCCUUGAUACAUUUCACAAACUUCAAAUGUUUUUAAGCUGUAAGGAUUUAUCAAAUCUUUACCUGUCUGACCAUACGCAAAACAUGUAGCUUUUGUUCGUUGGAAAAUGAUAGGAAUAAUCGGCUCCACAGUAACUCGAUAAACCUGUUCAAACAUGUGAAGAAAUGAUUUCAUUUAAGUCUCUUUUUUUGAUAGAUCGAACUCAUCAACAAAAAAGGAGAGCUACUCAAAUUACCCAAUCAAAAGGAACACACGCCUCAGUUCAAGCAAAACACAAUAGUCUAUUCCUUUCUUUUUUUAAGCCAGGGAGGGGGGGGAAGAGGUCAACAAAAUAAAAGAAAUUGAAGGGAAAAAAAGGUGCUAUUACUAUUAAAAAAAUUUCACUCUGGCAGCAGUUAUAUGGACCUUUGUCUCUAGCACAGUAGAAGUUACCUCAUCAUUGGUGACAUGCUGAUCAAGAACAGCAUCAAAACAAAAUUCAUGCUUCUCAACAUAUGCAGUCAAGUCCACCUUUCCAGAUCAGCACAAAAUAUUAGUGCUUUAACAGAAACAGAAAAAGAAAAGAAUAUAAAACUAGGAUAUAAUCAAGUAAAAUUCCUAUUUUCACCAGAAAAAUCCAAAUGAAUACUAAAGAACUUCGCUGCACAGCAGAACAGGGAACAAACCUUUAGCUUGGGUUCAUGGACAGUCAAUGCAUUCUCGGAAACAGUUACAAUAUCAUCCUCCUUCCGAGCAAUCUCCUUCUUGUUUAGUGGUCUUUUACGUACCUGAUAUUUAUUUUUUUUUUUUUUUUUUGGGGGGUGGGGGGCAUAAAAGCUUCUCAGAACUUCUUGUUUAGCAAAAGAAUGACGGGUAAGAAAAAAAAUUAAAUGUGUGGAACAGUCAAACAAUUGUACUUGGGCAAUUAAAGCAAUAAAAUAACUGAGAAAAUAAUAUCCAAGCUGAGAAAUUAAACUGUUCUUCCUCCAUCUAACAAUAAUACUUUUCCAUAAAAUGGAGCAUCUACAACUUAACAACCACACAUGCACUGCUAGAAGUGCAUGCAACGGAGACGAUGGAGAGAAAGAUAUACUACCCUACAUAUAUUAUAAACUUACCACAACUUUAAUUUUAGCUACAUUAUUUUCUCUAUUGCUGCUGUUCUCUUUUUCAUUAGUAGGAAAAGGAGCAGAUAAAUCUGGAUCACUCUGCUCUCUUUGCUGUUUACUACUAGUUGCAUUGAAAUCUUCAAAUACUUUCGAGCCACCAGGCAUGAAUGGUGAUGGCUCAAAGGGUUCUGAAAUGACAUGCUGCAAAUAUAUGAGAACAAAAAUUCAUUAACAUAUGAAAAGGGAAUAAUUAUACGCCUCAUACAAUAAGAAAGGAAACAAACAAACAAUUUCCAUAUUUCCUAUAAAUUUCAUUAUUACUACAAGGACGUAUUUAUGAAUCUCUUUUAAUCAUUUGAACUUCAAACUUCAAUAAACAAUUCAGUAGAAACAGCAAAUGGUCAACAGUUUGAACUUCAUAUGAUAGUGACAGCUGAUAUUUAAAACUUUUAAAAACUGAAAUUGAACGUGCAUUCUAUCAAAAACCACACUCGUCCAUUUUUAAAGCUAUUCUUGCAUGUUACUAGAUCUCUUAGCAAUAAACUGGGAAGAGGAAAGCAAAUAACAAGAGCCUUACAUGAUAGAUAACAAAAAGGUGAAAGAGAAGAAGGGGGAAAAGUGCUUUUACAGGUUCCAUUUUAUGAUUACAGGAUCAAAAACUGUCAUACUAUACUGCAUGCUUUAGUGGCAAGCUCAUUAUGGAUUUCUUUAUUUUUUUCUGACUGAAAAGCCUCUUGUUGUACAAGACACAUGGUUCAUUUACUGAUAUACUCAUUACAAAAAUAAAUAAAUAAAUAAAUGGUAACUGUUACCCUCCAUUAAGACAAAGCAUGCAAUCAAGAACCGUACCUCGGAUAAAAGCUCUGUAUCAUCCAUAGCAUGAAGAUCCAAAAGACCAGCUCCAAAAUCACCCCUGAACUCUGGAGAAUAAAAUCCAUCUGAUGCAGCCAUACCAGCUGAAGUUGGGGCAGUUGGUGUGUAAGGCUCAGAACCUGAUUCUCCAUUGAAAUUGAGGUUUCUCAUUAGCUUGAAAAGCCUCUGUUUUUCUUCAGCAGAUUGCGCUCCAUAACCCUUUAAUGUGAAUAGUAAAUUAAUACUAAUUUGUACAAAAACGUCUACAAGAGAAGUUCCUAUGAAAAACAGAAGAAUCUAUAGGAAAAAAUUUCAUCUCCAUCCAGCAGCGGGAACUUAAAAAAAUAUUGAUAUGGUUUAUUUUAUUUGUUCUAUUAACAUGCGCUGAAAACAUCAACAAAAAUUAAUAGUUGUAUUUACUUGUUUGAUGCAUGUGAUAUAUAUAUAUAUAUAUAUAUAUAUAUAUAUAUUGAGGCUGGCAGGUAUACAUUUUAACUGUGAAGAGGCGUAAAAACCAAAACAAAAGAAACAUUUGUUUCUCACUGAGGCGGAUCUAAGAAUAAGAUUAAUCAUCAACUAGUUCCACACAAAGAUGCUGGAACAAGGGAAAAAAACUGUAAGAAGCACACAAGUCCGCAUAAAGAACUUGAUAAACCAAUCGACUUCCUUAAACUCCUUUCUCUAAACAAAACCGCCAAUCCAAAUGAAGGAUGACUUUCCUCGAGAACGGUUCUGAAAUUAACUAUCCAAACCAUACAACAUAUCUCCCAUGAACUCCUCGCUUCAGAAUAAGUAUUCUAACUUCCGUCAUAUCAAAUAAAGCUAGUAAGAAGAAGCAUGCGAAAGACUCUAAUGGUCACAAAAACACCGACCAACCAAUUACCUGCAUUAGGAGAUUGGGGAGGAGGCGUUGAUCGAUGCCUGUGGAGGCCAAGGGAGAGGCCAGAUGCUGCAAACCCGCAGACUGGAGCCACCGUGCCAUGACCGCAUCGCCAGCAUCACUAGCGGGGCCUGCAUUGUGCAAGGACCCACCGCCGGUAUGAUCAUAAAGAGCGGUCGCCGCAGCAGCAUUGCUCUGCUGCAUCUGGCCGCCCAUGUGGCGCUGCGAUCGCUUUUGCGGAGCCAAUUUCAAGAUCUAUUUACCACGUCUUCACAAUCAAAAGAAAAGAAAAUCACAAAUUCCAUAAUAAAAAUAUAUAUAGAAAUGCAAAAAAAAAUAAAAAAUGAAGCGAUUCGGAUAAGCAAUACUCACAAGGAGGAGAAAAUUCGAAUCCAAAGCAGAACAUGAAAGUGAUUUCUUUAAAAAUCCACUCAAUCCACCAAUUCUGCAAUAAAACCAAAUCCGAUCUUAAUUUUUUAAAAACCCUAAAAAUUCAUUUCUAAGAAUCAUCAACCACAUUUUAUCUAAGAAUACGAAGGAAAAAAAAAUACCAGACGAAAUCAAAGACAAAUAACAAAGAGAUCGAGAUCUGUGAGAGGUACAAAUGGUGUGAAGCUUAAAAUUUGUGAUCAGAUCUGAAACUGUAGAAAUAAUACAAAAACCCUAAAGAAGAAUGUUGUAAAAGAGAAGAAAGGAGGCUGCAGGCUUUGUUCGAAUUUUUCUUUGUUUGAGAAAUUGUAAUAACAGAGGCUCCACAAGACAGAGAGGGAGAAAGAGAGAUGAAAUGCACUUUGCAAAGGAGAUAUAAGUAAUGUGAGUAUUUACUAUAUAAUUUUUGGUGCAUUAUAGUUUUGAAAAUUUAAUGAACUGCUAUUUUAAAUUUAGUGAAAUUAUUAAUUUACCCUCGAUUUUGUUAUUAAUUUCCCUUGUUUAUUUUAUUUUCUUCUAAGCGGACCGAAAAGAAUCUAAAAAUACAGAAGUACCCUUAACGUGAAACAGACAACAAAUAACUAUUUAAAAAUAAUAAUAAUAAAGAUAACAAAUAAAUAUAUUCCAACUAGGAUUAAACCUCGUCAUGCUUAAAUUAGUUUUUCUAGGCUCCGUUUAUUUCUGUAAAAUAAUUUGUAAAAAAAUAUUUUUUAUAAUUUUUCAUUAUUUGGAGCCCUCAUAAAAAUAAGUCAAUAGAAAAUAUUUUUCGAAUUAAAGAAAAAUUAAAUCAUUUUUAAAAGAAGACAACUCUCCAUUUUCGACAGAGUAAAACAUUUUCCGGAUAUUGGCGAACUUUAUAAAUCCAUAUUUUUUAAUUUAUUAAUCAUCAUUGUAACGCCCCGCAUGUUUGACAACUUCUAUUUUUAGGGGAAACUCUUGCAGUUUUUAUGUAGGCCUCUCCCAAGUCAUUUUUAAAACAAAAUAUUCUUACUUGUUAAACUUAUGAAUACUAAGUCACUUCUAAUUCAUAAUAUGAUUGUAUGGUUUAUAUAUAAGUUAGGACGGUGCCUCUGGCACCAAACUUGGCAUCCACCGCGGGUCUUUCGGGAUCGGGCGGCGGGUGUUAUAAUCAUAGUCACUAUCACCGAUCACUAUUUCCACGGACUACCACCGACGGUAGCUUUCAUAAUUUAUAUUUUUUUCAUUCUUUUCAUAUUUAACAAUCAAAUUUUUAAAUUAUAAAAUUUCUAUUAUUAUUAAUAUUUUUUAUGGUUUUAUGAGAUAAAGACUUUCAUAUUUUUAACUAAUGUUCAAUAUUACAACUAAACAACGAAAAAUAAGUCAUUUGGAAAAUAUUUUUCAUAAAAAAAUUUAUUUGUAAAUUAUUUUUCUGCAGGUUAUUUUACAUAAACAAACGAGAGCCCUAUGUUCUUGAAUUUUGAUUUUGUUAAUUUCUAAUUUAAUUAAAAAUCUAAUUAGUAUUAAAAUUAUUUUCCAUAAAUAAGUCACCCAUUUAAAGUCUAUAAACAGUAAUUUCACGUUUAAAAAAAUGUACUAGUAGUUUAAUAAGGAUCUGUUUAAGAAAAGAAAAAGAAAUUAUUAUUUCAUGUAUUUUAUAUAAAAUUAGUCACAUGUUAUCAUAUGCCCCAAAUAUAUAAUAUUAUUAUUAUUUUUUAAAUUUAGAUAAUAUUAUAUAAAUUUAUUAUUUUUCGUCAUGUUCAUUGCAUUUCAAAUACGUACUUGCAGGUACUAAUUGAAUUUAAAUGUUCUCAUCUGUAAUUUGUAAGUCAUUAUAUAUCUUAAAAUAAUUAAAAUAGAAUGCUAAAAAAAUUUUAAAACUGCAAUUUACAAAAUAUUAUAAAAAAAUAUUUAAAUUUUUUGAUACCUUGAAAUAGGAUACUGUAUAGAUAGAUAAAAAAUUAGCAAAUCAAUUUGUUAGGAGGGCAGUUCAUGGAAAUAAAUAUCACCAUAUGUAGAAUUCCGAAGUGAAUGGCAGGACCUAGCCUAAUUAUUUGUUUAGGGACAGAUUAGACGCUUGUCUUUUUUCUACGCCAAGUGAAAUUGACCAAACAGCCCAGCAUUUUUCACAAAUUUAAAUUCAGGUAAAAUUUAUGAGUAAAAUAAUUAGAAUCAGUUAAAAAUCUGAAUUAAAAAUAAUGCCAGCAAGUUUGAUUUUCUGGAAACUAUUAAAUGCACCAUAGCAGAAUGCAUUAUUUCUUGAAUAAAAAUUUAGUCUUACUAAAAUAUAAAUUUUUAUGAAAAUAUUCAUAAUCAUGUAAUAAAUCGAAACCCGCAUUUUUUUUUAUUUAAAUUUAUCUACUAUGAUGUUCGAGUGAAUAUAAUAUUUAAAAUAAAGUAAAAAUAAAAUUAUUUGUAUUGGUACUAUAACGAGCUUAUUUAAUAUAAUUCAGUUUUUUUCUUCUAAUUUAUAUGUAAUUAAUAAAAAUAAUACCUUGAAAAUUAUUGUUUAAGACACUUAUCAAAGAAACCUGAACAUUGGAUUCUCACAUAAUUGUAGAUUUUUUUUUUUUUUUUUUUUGGUAGCUAGUGAAGAUGUUUCAAUUAAAAGGUGCAAAUCCCAUGUGAUGGCUAUGCCACUUGUUAGAUGAUGAUUUUGGAUGUGGACUAACUUCCCUGCUGCUGCCUGCUGGCUCUGAAAAAAAUGCAAGCACCAGAAUUGUUCUCUCAGGUUAUAUAUAUUAAAAAAAUAAUAAUAAAUAAUAGAGAUGGGAUAUACAUAUAUAUAUAUAUAUAUAUAUAUAUCAAAAAAAAAAAAAGAAGUUAAAAAAAUUGAUUGUUGAAGUUAUUGUCAAUAUGACCCAAGAUGGGUUUAUCUCUAGUAUACUGCACUUCUUUUCUGCAGAAAGAAAUGCCAAAUUGGUAUAAAAGUAAUAAAGAAGAUAGGUAAGGGCAAAAUGACAGACAAACAACAACACCAAGAGAAACGACAAUAAUUUCAUAAUUUUAUAAAUAAAAAAAAAAAAAGAACUUGAAUCUAUUUUUUUAUGCAAUCUUUAUAUGAUAUAAAAUUCCUAAAGAAAGACUUUGGGUCUGAAUUUGUGCAUUUAUGAGUUUUUCCUCUCCGCUCCCCUUGGCCCUCGUACUGCUUUAACUAAUAUCUUUGACAUCUAGGCCAAAAGACAUUUGCAUUUGUUUAGGACAUUAGACGUUUUUGUUUAGCUUCUGAUAUGGUCUUUUAGGGUGUCUUGUUCUCCUCAUAGUGGGGCCAUACCAAAGUAGAAUAAUAAUAUUGAUGGCUGGUGGAUCUCCAUCUCCUCGUAUUAAAGUUUAGCAAAUUGAAUUCAUAAAAAAUAAGUUAAAUGGUAAUGUAUGUUCGAAUUAAAAUUCGCAAAACGAAUCUCAAAAUGAAAUUAAUCUCAUAGUAAAAAAUAACGUAAAAAUACUCCUAAAAGAAACUCUUUUUCAAUAUUGCCUAACCUAUCAUAUCUUGAAGCUCACUCUUUUUUUUUUGAAUAAAGCCUUGCUUUAACUUAAAGUAUAUACGUAAGGUUGAGAUCUAAGAAUUAAUUAAGAGUUGAAAUUUGAAUUAAAUAAUAUUCUUUUGACAUAAUUAGUCAAAUUAAUUAAGCCUUGCAUCCACCUCAUUUUAGGUGAUUCUGAACUAAUAUAUAAUUGCUUCCUUUGCACCUCCAAACCGUAGGUUAGGUUAUCACAAUGUACUUAAUUACAAUGUACAUCAUAUGAAUUUAAUGGUGGGAACCCAUUAAUGACUAUGAUUACAACCUGCAUUUUAGAUUACUUUUUAUACAAUUCCAAAACUAUUAUGGUUGAUAAAUGGGUUUUUAUUAGUAGAAAUUUAAUUUAUAGUUAGAACCUAACUAUUAAAAGAUAUUUCUUUUAAUUUUAAUUUAAAUUAUUUAGUCCGACAUUAAUAAAUUAUAUAAAACAUAAUUCCAGAAAGGUUUACCAACCAAAAUUAAUCUUUUGUAUCUUUAUUUAUAUAAACCAUCUAAAAAUGAGAAAUAAGAUUUUGGCAAUAAUGAUGUAAUUAAAGACGUCAAGUCCAUGGUGAAGACAAGCAACAUAAUCACGAUUUUCCAUAUAAACAUGUUUUCAAAAUGGAGUAAAUGCAUGAAUCAAGCAAAAGGUGAAUCAAAGGUCAUUUGCUUUUAAUAUUUUAUAAUAAGCGAUUGUAAAACUGGUCAUGUCUCUUAGUUUAAAUUUUGAUUAAUAAAGUAACUAUAAAACUAAGUAUUUGCCAAUUGAUUUAAUCAUCGACGCAGGUGGUCUAAAUUCACAGCAUGUGCAAUUUUUUAAUUUUAUUUUAUCAGAUCAGAUACGUUGAGGAAGCAGAAAAUGAUUGCAUUGACUAGUAGUAGUAAUAAUAAUAAUAAUAAAAGAUAAUUUUGCCUCGUUAGCCUCUAUCUUUCCCACUCUGAACCAACAUAUUUGUAAUAGGUCAAGGAACACAAGGCGGCAAGAAGCACAAUUGACGAGUCACACGCACCGAUUACGGGGCGCUACGCAAUCUUAACAAGUCAAAUUAAGAUCUAUGCUAUUCUGAGGAAGGCCAUUCUGCGGCCAGAAGAUCUCAAAGAAGUAAACACUUCCUCCAGCAUCCAAAUGAGGGAUUCUCUCUGGAACAAAAAAAAAAAUCGAGUGCACUGCCUUCCUUCAGUUUUCAGAGGUGGGGGCUAUUUAUUUUAUUGCCGCCAAUAGCGCUUCGCUUGCAUGCAAGGCGGCACGCCAGGUAGAGCUAUCGCGGGCGGGAGACCUCAGGCUUCCAACGCCACAAUUAAACAGAAUCAAAAUGCAAGAUUAGAAUAAGCCAUCACCAAACAGAAGUAAAACUACAAUUAAACCCCAAAUAAAAGGAAAUACUAAUAAAACGAAAUCUAAUGCAUAGCAAAUCGCAAAAUACACCAAUUUCUUAUUAUAUUUUAUACCGAUAAGACCAAAAUUCAAUGGCCUUACAUGCUUGCUUGCCUGCACCACCUUAAAGUAUAUAAUAAUAGAAUGUUGCCAAAUUGCAAAUGAUUAGAGCCAGUAAAACAUAUCUAUUUUGACAAGCCUUCCACAAAUACAAAGGGAACAAAGAAGUUGUAACAUCAAACAAUUACCAACUUAGGCUGGUAAAUUUUAGAAUACACGCCCAAUAGAAGAUUGAAUUAUUUGUCAAACAAGAAACUAAUAACCAAAGAAGGAGGAAAACAUGUCUAGUCAAUAAUUAACCAAAAUAAGGCAUGAAGCACCAAAUAUAACAGUACAGAGAUGGAAAAGGACACAUAAAGCUAGAAAUAUGGCAAGAACUUCCACUUCGAAGCCAGCUAUUCUCCAUUCUUAGCACUUGAUCUCCUUCAAAGCAUAAGCGAAGUACAAAAAUGUUGGGUCAGUGGCGCCAUCCUUGUAGUAAGCAAACACCAAACUCCCAUCAUCAUGCAUGCUCUCCCCCACAAAACUGCAAGACACGUGAGCAUGUAAAUCACUGAGAUCCAAACUACAUGUAUGCUCAUAUAAAUAAAUAAAUAAAUGAACUGUACUAAAACAACUGGGGAUAACCAGCAGGAAAAUUUGAAACAAUAAAAAUUACACUCACAAUUGGAGGUCACUGAGCUUCGAGAGCAGGAACUUGGUUGCUCCCUCAAUGUUUUUCUUGAAAGCCUGUUGCUUCUCCUCAUCCAAUUUGGGUGUCAACAACUUGAUGUACCUCUUCAUGUAUGUGACAAACUGCUUCUUGUCAAAAGCAGGUUGCUCCUG
rnacentral:lncRNA from 1 species